CAUACUAUCCAUUGUGUAGUGUUUGAAUCAGAAUGAGCAUAUCUGUUCCUGCAAAUGUUUAUCAUUUUUUUGUGAACACAUUUAAAAUCCUUGCUUCUAGUUCUGUAAAAAUGUGCAGUUCUGGGGCAGGCAUCUGACCGAACAGUUAGGAUGCUCUUGGGACUCCCGACCCCUUACUCGAGUACGUGAAUGCAAGUCCUGGCCCCACUCCCAAUCCAGCUUCCUGCUGAUGCUGCGCUGGAGGCAGCAGGCGCUGGCUCAAGUCAUUGGAUCCCGGCCAUCAGCCAUGUGGGAGACCUGGAUUGAGUUCCAGGCCCCUGGCUGUGGCCCUGGUCCAGCCCCCGCCAUCGUAAGCAUGUGGGAAGCAAACCAGUGCAAGAGAGUUCUUCGUGUGUAUGAAUGUGUGUAUGUGUGUGUGUGUGUGUGUGUGUAUCUGCCUCUCAAUUAAAAUGUAAAAAUACACGCAGUACAUUAUCAUUAUCUGUAGUUACCCCACUGUGCAGUGGAGUGCCAGCCGUUAUACCUCCUAUCUCAUGCCGGCUUAGUACCCGCUGGCAGGCUGUUCCAUCCCUCCCUCCCCCGUACUCUUCCCCAGCCUCUGGUAACUGCUUUCUAGUACAUGUAUUCCUUAAAUAAAAAAUGUAAAAGGGGUAGAAGGCUUGAUGAAUUGCAAAAAAAAUAAAUUAUUUCCAAGUGAAAGAGUUGAGAGAAGCUUAUGAUGAUCUGGUUGGUUCAAAUUUAAGAUUUCUAAAUGUUGGGCCAGCACUGUGGUCCAGAGGGUUAAACUGCCACUCACGACACCAGCAUCCCAUGUGAGUCCCAGCUGCUCCUCCCCCGAUCCAGCUCCCUGCUCAUGCACCUGCGAAAGCAGCAGAAGAUGGCCCCAGGUCUUGGGCCCCUGCCCCCUCCACAUGGGAGACCCCGUUGGAGUUCCAGGCUCCUGGCUUCAGCCUGGACCAGCCCUGGACAUUGCAGUCAUUUGGAAAUUGAUUGCUUCUGUCUCUCCUUUUCUCUGUAACUCUUACUUUAAAUAAACCUUUAAAAGAAAAGGAUGUCUGGAUGUCAAGAAGUUCUGCGGCCCAGAGGAUGACUUUGGGGAUGGGAGGCAGAGUGAAGGCUUUGCAGUUGAUGAGGUUGGUGAGCCGAAAGGCCAAGGCUCCAUCUGGCCUCUGCACUCAGUGAUGGCAGGAUUUGGGGUGCAGGCAGGCGGGUCUCCGGGAGCUGGGACCCAGCUGCUCUGACCCAGGGCUGACCGUGUGCACGUUUGCCCUCCAUGUGAGUGAAAGGUGAGCCUUUCCCUCCUGAACUGCAGGAGUAACGGUUGUGUGAUGGGUGGUGGGAGUGGUGGUAGGUGCUGCCCGCCCUGGGUCUUAGCCAUGCAGAGGGUUUGCCUGGGGCUCACACCACCCGCGCAGACUGUGCGCGCAGGACUCCCACGCAGCUCAGCUGUCUUCGGGCCAGGAGGCUCCCCUGUCCUCCAGCAUCCUCCUGCACGGCCUCCAGGGGAGCCACCACGAGGGUGGGCAGUCUCAGGCCGGGGCAUUUGCUCCUCACCUCGGUCAAGCACUUCGCUCCCCCAGGGAGGAGGAGGAGGAAGGCCCUCCCCUAGCAGAAGCCCCUGCUGUCAGUCACAGUGAGCGCUGCGGGCCACACAGGCGCCGGCUGGCUGGCUGUGGCCAGCGUGGAGGUCCUCACAGGGUGAUGAGAUGAUGUUUUUCCUCACUGGUAGGCAGGCCGCAGAGUGGAGAUGUCCCAGCCUUGCCAGUUGCCACCUCUCCCCUCCCCCCAUCACCCACAGGGUGCGUUGGAUUCGUCCAUGGUACUUCCUGUGCACUUCCCAUAACCAUCUUCUGUUGUGUUCUGUGUGUAUUUACAGAACGCUUUGCAGUUUUGCCGGGAUAGGGAGUGCAUCUUACUGCUGUGUGUAUGCCCAGCCUCAUAGUCCUUGGCGUUGAUUGAGUACAGUGUAAUUUUUGGCAGAUGGAUGGAUGAAUAUAAAAAAGACGGAUGUUUGGCGUACAUAAAAGCUUUAGGGAAAUUUCAUUAUGAAAGUAUUAAACAAAUGCGUGUUGUUGUAUUUGUUAACAAAUAAGUCUACCAGAUGACUGAAUUCCAGUGGAAAUGGGGUAGGGAUAUUUACCAAAAAUCCUCUUCAAUUUUUUUUUCAAUUGCAGAUCUUGCUAAGUCGCAUCCUUUUUCAAAGGGAAAAACUCCACACAUCCAAAACUCAAAGUCCCACACAGCUGCUUGCACGUCGGCUUUCCUGCAGGAGUUGCAGUGCACUGUUGUGGAACACUGAGGUGGAGGCUCUGAGGUCAGGAGCUGACCAGGGCCCUCUCUUGGUCAGCAGCUUGUCCUGUGCUAGGGAUGGGCUCGCGGUCACAAGAGAAGCAGUGGAGGCGGCUGUUAACCAAGGCGAGCAGGGCGGUGACAUCUGCUGGGGGAGGACAGGCAGACAGGCACGGCUUUGCUAGGACGGUGAUGUGUGCGACACCAGCUUGGGGCUGGGGUCUGCAGUCGGCGACACCGCCUCCUCCGUCACCUUGUGGAGCCCUGAGCUCCUGUUUCGCAUUCUCCCCUCCAUUGCUUUGCUUUUCACAGAUCCAGCUGUGCUCUGUUGGAUCAUCCAUGAAUGUCUCCCUGCUUCCCCUGACCUCUCCCACCAGGCCUGACUUUCAGUGCAUCACGGAGCCCUCAGGGGCUGGGACCCCACACCCUCCAUCUUGGCCCUGGGAGGGAGGCCCAGCUCAGGCCUGGCGGAGCCCCUGUCGGGGAGCUGCAGACACAGAGAUGAGGAAGGCGUGGCGGGUGCUGGGCUUGCUGAGCGCUGACUGUCUUCCUCUUGGGGAAGGAGGAUGCUGACUUGGAGCAUCCAUCAGGGUUCUGCAGGUUGCAGCUGCACGGCCGCGGUGGUGCAGCGACGGCCUGAGCCGAUGGAGGAGUGCACCAGGACUCUGACGGCUCCUCACCAUCCUGCAGCAGCUCCUUAGCUGCAAGAGGCCUGGAGGUGGGACCAGGUCAGGGACCAUGUGGCCAUGUACCCAGAGCGAGUGCACACCUGCCUGGCAGGGGAGGGAGACCUGAGCCACGCCUGGGAAAUCGGGGGCACCAGAGGUGCUGGUGCAGAGGUGGCCUUGGUCUAUCCCUGCUGGGCGCGCCCUCCCGAGGAGCAGAUUCUGGGGUCUUUUCCCAGACCUGCAGUUCUUCCUAUGGCCUCUAGUCCACCUUUAGAAUAUUCCUGAAACUGGAAACUGUUGGGGCAUCAGACUGCGAAGAGCGUGGCCCUGGCCCCGGAGACACACUGCUCCUUAGCUCAUCCUUGGCACCCGGAACCCCUCCCGGCGAUGCCACUGUGCCUCCUGCAGUGUGUCUGGAUGUGGUGACAGCUUGUGGCUGCUGACUGUGGUUUCUGGUUUGUACUCUCCCUUUCAGGCCCAGGUGAAGGCAGAGGAAGUCCAGAGUGGAGUUGGCUGCUGAAGUGAGCACACAGCAGGGCUGGACGUAGCAGGGGUGAUGGAGACAAGCUCGCACUGGGCAGCUUGGGGCAGCAGAUGGAGGCCAGAGUGCAGCAAAAAGCAAGGUAGAGAGGCUGGCGUUGUGGCAUAAUGAGUCCAGCACCCCAUAUGGGCACCAUAUGGACUCAGGUCCCAGCUGCUCCUCUUCCCAUCCAGCUCUCUGCUAAUGCACCUGGGAAAGCAGCAGGAGAUGGUCCUAGUGUCUCCAUGUGGGAGACCCGAAAGAAGCUUCUGGCUCCUGGCUUUGGCCUGACUCAGCACCAGCCAGAGACAGAUCUCUCUGUCUCUCCCUCUUUCUCUGUAACUCUGUCUUUUAAAUAAAUAAAUAAAUCUUAAAAAAAAAAAAAAAAAAAGACAAGGUGGAAGCCGUGUGUGGAAUGUUGUUCCUGAAAAGUCUGACAGUUUGCUGGUAAAGGGGGGAACUGGAUGGCCGUGUUUCCAGGAUGCAGAGAGCGAAAGGGGGUGAAGUUGGUGAGCCCCGGUGGUGGUGAGAUCGGGGCUUGGAGGCAGCAGUGUUAAGAAUGGGUAGGGAGAUGCCAGCCAAAAGUCUUAUUACUUCCUUAGUUGAUUUUCUUCUGGAGGAUAUAUCAAGUUUCUGAACAUUUUUAAAGACUUGUAUAUUCAGCUUGCCCCAGUGUCACCAGGCCAUGAUGCAGUACAAUGCCCAGAUCCUAAACUGGGUCCCACAGACAAGUGUGUUCUUACGUCAGUCAUGACGCAAGGCCAGGAAGCUUGGCUUCCUCUCCUCCUCGGAGGGGUGGGAGUCUGUGGCCCUGAGGCCGGAGCCCGGAGCCCUGCGCCGUGACUUUGAGCAGUGCCGGGGGUGGUUUGGGCACGGGGGUGAUGCUGCUCCUUCUCUGCAUGUCUCUCCGGAUGCUGCUGGUGGAGGGAUUGGCCUUGGCAGCGCUGCUCGCACUCACGGUGCCGGGCCGUGAGCACUGCUCUGGGGGUGACGGGGGGGCGGGGUGGACGUGAUCGCAUGGUUUCUUCUUGGUUUGCCCUGUGCUAGGAAGAGGGUGCAGACUCUUUGGUCAGGGGUCGCCAGUGGAUUCCUGGCUGCUCCUCUUCUGAUCCAGCUCCCUGCUAAUGUGCCUAGGACAGCAGCAGCAGAUGUCCCAAGUCCCUGGGCCCCUGCACCCAUGUGGGAGACCCAGAAAAAGCUCCUGGCUUCAGUCUGGCCUAGCCCUGGCCGUUGGGGGCCAUUUGGAGAGUGAAUCAGUGGAUGGAAGAUCUCUCUCUCUCUCUCUCUCUGUCUCUCCUCCUCUCUAACUCUACCUUUCAAAUAAAUAAAUAAAUCUUUUUUUAAAAAAAUGCCAUUAGUUCAUGAGUCAAGACUGGGAGAACUGAGGAAAAACAAAACAUCUCACGUCGGUUGUUGGAAAUCCGUGGUGAUAUGAAACUGUAUUGUGACUGAACUCCGGUUUGGUUGCAGUGCACGUGGGUUAAGGGGCAUUUUAUUUGAAGGAUCAACUGGGGCUUAGGAAAGAAUCAGUCUUGAAAUGUAGCCCAGUCUUGCAAAUCCAAUUCUUAAUUGAACUUCCAGUUGUUUAAUCACACCUGUCAGAUCUUGUCACGCUCCCAGUGCCGUGGGAGUCAGCACUGAUACCUGUGAGCGUCGGUCGGCUUGGACGGACCGAGGGUGGCUGCAGGCUGAAGACACCAUAGUGGAAGUCAGAGUCGUGCUGUGCAUUCUCGUAGUCACGUUUCUCGUUUUACGAUGCCAUGGAACAUGCAGCACGUCUGUGCCUGUGUUCAUUUCCUUUCUGUGUGGGAAAUGCGUGCAGGUGCUCCCUGGGAGUUUCACAUUGUUGUGAUACAUACAUCUGUGUUAUGAACAUACAUCUGUGUGUGUAGAACAUACAUCCCUGCAUGUAUAGAACAUGCAUCACAUCUGUCCAUGUGUGGAACACAUUUGUAUGUGUGCAGAACAUGUAUGACAUCUCUGUGUGGAAUGUGUCCCAUCUCCAUGUGUGGAACAUGUAUGACAUCUGGCAGCACAUACUUUACAUUUGUGCAUGUGUAGAACACAUCUGUAUGUGUGUGGAACAUGUAUGACAUCUGUGCCUGUAUGGAAUAUUCACUGUAGCUGCGUGUGUGUAGAACAUAGUACAUCCAUGCACAUGUAGAACAUGGUAUGACAUGCGUGGAACAUGUGUGACAUGUCUGUGGAAUAUAUGACAUGCAUGUGUGGAACGUACAUCAUAUCUGAGCGUGUGUUACUUUCAGUUCCGUGUGGGCAACCCAAGUGGGUGCCCUAACAUCUUGCUCCCCCUGGCCAACACCUGGCAGAGGUGACCGCUCUGGGCUUCUUUGUGACACCAGAGUCAGGGAAAGUAGCAGCAGAGCCGCGUGCGCGGGUGAGCUUGGCUUUCCUGCGCCGUGGACUUGCUCGUCUCUCAGGGCGGGUUCGUUUCCGAUCUCACGCAUCUGCGCUCUUGGCUCCAGGGCGGGGUGGAGGCUGCACAGGGCAGAUGCGCGUGUGUGGCCGGCACAGAAGCUGCCGAGGCUCCUUUCUGCCUCGCGUUCUCCCCGUGGAGCCCAGCGUGUCACCGGGUGCCGUCCGCGCUGUUGAGCAGUGUGAGCCCCUCGUGCUGGGUAUGCAGGCAGCCGCGUUCCUGCUCACACCCCCCCAGACAAACAGGGUCACCCCUAAAGGCGGGCAGCCCACAGAGUUUAGAUCCUUUUUGUCAAGUCACCACCCUCUGACCCGGAUGUAGCGACUGAGUCUUCCCACGGUGUGUGCUCCUUUUCCAGUGCACCGGGCCAGGGGCUUGGUUACACCGCUCUGUAGGCAGGGCUGUGCUCAGUGCUCCCUGCGGUCAGGAGUCCUGCCCUCGGGCCCAGGGCCGGGUUUCUCACCUCACCCGGCAGGUAGUUGGUGCUUGGCCACGCACGGCUGACAGUUAGUGCCUGUCUGGAGGCUGAUGAGCAGUGCGGUGUUCAGUGCUUCCCUACACAGUGACGCGAGAACACAGUCAGCCUCGAGCAGAUGGCCGCUGCUCGCAGUGGAGGUCCAGUCCCGCGCGCGUCUCUGGGGUGCACGUCUCUGCAAACAGCCCUGUGAGCGGGAGUGUCCCGGACGACCCCUCCACCCCCUCCUGUUCACGCAGGAGAAAGCUGGGGCCUGCGAGCCGGGGAGGAGUGGGCCCCACCUCACGGCCUGUGUUGCAGGGGGUCUGCGGCCUGCAGCUCCACACCCUCACCCCCCCCCCCCCCCCCCGGCAGCCUGUGGAGCUUUCUCUGUCUCCUGGGGGAGAAGUUGGCCCAGCCACAGCUGGAGCACUGGGGGAAUCAGAGGGCCCGGUCGACUGUCUGCAGGUGUUGCAGCGACAGUUACCUCACCGAUGGGACAGUCCUGUGCUGGGAAGGGAGGAGGAGGUGGGGGAGGAAGAGGAUGGCCGGGGGGAGGGACAUCCCUCCUGGCCAGGGAGUGUAGCAGAGGGCCGGCUGGUGCAGCAGGACACUGGCCGCAUGUGCCGCAUGGCGGGCGGGGAUGAGGCUGGCAUCUGAUCCCAUCUGUCCUGCUCACACCGAAAGCUCCAUGUGCAUUUCAUGACAGGAGCAACACAAUGCAAUUUCUCUGUCACCUCCCAGCCAGCCUUUGAGAUGGGGCAGGCCUCCCUCUCUCUCUCUCUCUCCCUCUCCCUCUCCCUCUCCCUCUGCCUCUCCCUCUCCCUCUCCCUCUCCCUCUCCCUCUCCCUCUCCCUCUCCCUCUCCCUCUCCCUCUCCCUCUCCCUCUCCCUCUCCCUCCCUCUCUCCACUGUGACAUCGUUUCUCCUGGGUACCGUUGCCUUCCUGUUCCGCUCACUGCUCACCAGUGCUCUCCUGGCCAUGUCACCGCUCUCCUGGCAGACACCGUGGACUCGCGUCCCAGCUGGACCAGCAGUGAGGACCGCUGUUCGUGCCCGGGCCGCACCAGGCCAGCGCUGUUAGGUCCUCUUCGUGCCGGGUCUCAUGCUGUAAGCUGGGGAUCCUAACGUCGCUCUUUCAUAGAUUUUUUUAAACGUCGAGGUGUAAUGAGGGAGCCUGCUUGGUACUGCACAGCCGAUGGAUGGCAAGGCUGUGGUCUGAGUCGCCUUCUGCCAGACUCCACAGCCAGAGCUCUGGUGAGCUGGCCGACUCCACCCACAUGAAGUAGCCGUGUGUGUCGUCAGCUCCUGGGACAUCUCCUGUUGGAGAAUGUGAUGUCUGUUGUUGUUGUUGUUGUUGAUAAAAGCUGAGGGUUUUUGACUUCAAGAUUUUUGUUGUUGUUGUUCUGAUGUUCAGUUAAGCAAAAUUGGUCUGGUCUUUAAAAUAUGCGCUGAGAAUUGUGUCUUUUUUUUAAAUAUUUAUUUUAUUUCAAAGACAGAGUUACAGAGAGAGGUAGAGACAGAGAGAAAGGUCUUGCAUCUGCUGGUUCACUCCCAGAUGGCCACAACGACCGGAGCUGUGCCGAUCCGAAGCUGGGAGCCAGGAGCUUCUUCUGGGUCUCCCGUGUGGGUGCAGGGGCCCAAAGACUUUGGCCAUCCUCCACUGCUAUCCCAGGCCACAGCAGAGAGCUGGAUCAGAAGAGGAGCAGCUGGGACUAGAACCGGCGCCCAUGUAGGAUGCUGACACUGCAGGCCAGGGCAUUAACCUGCUGUGCCACAGCGCCGGCCCCGUGAAUUGUGCUUUCUUAUGUGCACCUUCACGAUCCCAGUGCACAGAAGUCGCUCCGGGUGGCCCUGGUGGUGCUGGAGAGGACUGUGUGGAGGGCAGCUCUGCGUCUGGGUGUAGCUCAUUCCAUGAGUUCUAGGACUGCGGAGUGGGGGCUGCGGCGCAUACAGGUCAAUGCUUCAUGCCUGGUUCUGAGGUUGCUUUGUUGCUGCCUGCUCAUCUGACUCCCAGAAGGUUUUCCUCUAUCCUCCCUAAGAGAUGGAAAUGGAAAUGUUAUCCUGACUGUGCACACAUUCGAGAGAGAGAGAGAGAGAGAGAGACUCACUGGGGAGAGCGAGGGCUCACCUUGCUAAGAUCAUUGCAGAUGAAGCUGCACAGAGUAAGAGAGCUGUCGGUCUGAAGCCUGCGACGUAUGCUCCGGUUCACAUCAGAAAAUCCAGUCCAGCUGAAAUGACUGGAGUUUAGUUCCCCGCCACAGCGAAUGCAAAGGGGCCGGCCUGGGUGCUGUGCACGCCUCGGCAGCAGGCGGCGUGGCCCAGCCACGGCAGCCGGGGUUUGCUCAGGGGCCUGGUCUGGACCUCGUCGACUUCUUGCUCUCUCCUUUUCCCUUUCUCUUGUCUAGCAGUGACCAGAAUCUUAGGAACCAAAAGUUUCUUCAAAUGCAAGCCAUGGCCGGCAUCCUCAUGUCUUGGCUCCUGUUAGGUUUGUAUUUGAUCAGUGUCAGCUUGCAUCAGAUGGAACCAUCACAGCCGUGUGCACUGUGCAGGCCCCGCUGCUUCCUUGUCCUUUCCCUUCCUGGGACAGACACACCACCCAAGGUUAGCCCUGAGCACUUGGCUCUCCCAGCCACGUCUUAGCUCUCUCAGCAGCCUGCUCCGGCAUCAGCAAGUGACCCAGCAGCCCUGUGAGGCUACCUCAGGCCGGCUCCCAGGCCCACUGUUCUUGUUCAUGGCUGGCUACUUUUUUUUUUAAGAUUUAUUUUUUACUUAUUUGAAAGUCAGAGUUACAGAGAGAGAGGCCUUCCAUCUGCUGGUUCCCUCCCCAAAUGGCUACAAUGACGGGGGUUGGGCCAGGCUGGAGCCAGGAAAUUCAUCUGGGUUUCCCAUGUGGAUUCAGGGGCCCAAGCACUUGGGCCACCCUUCGCUGCUUUCCCAGGCAGGGAGCUGGAUCCAGGUGGAGCAGCCAGGACUCAAACCAACGCUCAUAUGAGAUGCCAGUGUUGCAGAUGGGGCUUUAACCCACCACGCCUCAAUGCCAGCCCCUCACAGCUGAUUCCUAACCAGCCUACUCUUCCACUUCUGUUUCUGUAGCCAGUUUGAAAGCAGAAAGCUCAACAGGUGUAAUUAGGUUUGUAAGUGAAAAGUUUCACAUGACACACGUCCGUCUCAUUCUGUCUGAGCCCUGGGUCUGUUUGACAGGUGUGUAAGUCGGCCCAAUCCACAAAGGACACGAGGCCGCUGGCAUCCUACGGGAAGGGGCAGUUGUCAUGUCUUUGAUGGACACGGGCUCUGCAUAGCAGCUCGGGACUGAAAAACCUGCUGUGGAGCAGGUGGUUGAAGUGGGGCGCUGACGCUGUGUGUCAUGUGCCGUGGGAAUCCUGUCACCAGUGGCCUUGUUAGAAAGGUGACAGCAGGCACUGGAGCUGGUCUUGUUGUACAGCCCUGGGCCUCAUGGGCAGGCUGCAGGUGGUUAGCACCAACUUGUUCCUUGCUCCCCUCUCUGCCUGAGACCUGGGACAAGAGGCACAUGACAGCUGACAGCGGGUGACAGAGCCCUGCGCCGGCACUGGGGGGGGCCACGGCAGCCACACCACGGGAGUAGCGUGGACUCUGGGCCGCUCUGAAAUCAGAUUCAUUUCACUCGGGCAAAAGCGCUCCAGCAGGUGCAUCGGCCUAUUGACACGCAGAGGACAUUCCGGCUGGAAGCUGGUGUUUUGGGGAGAAAAUAACUGAACAGAAAAAGACGGUUUUGAAACGACCAGUUGUAGACACAGCAAGCAACCAGUAUUUCCCUUCUGAAAGACAUCAACAUUUUCUCCCUAGAAAAACACUCAGACACCAAGCAGCAGCUGCUCUGUGUUUUGCCAGUUUUAUAACAGUUCAUAUGAAAGGACAGCACUGUUGAAAGCGAAUCCACUACCGUGUGCUCAUUUUGCCAAAACUUUGAGAUGCAACAGUCAGUGUGCUUUUUUUUUUUUUUUCAAAGUAUGACAGUACACAAAGGAGAAAAGUCUGCUCGAUCAUUGAGGAGGACAGUGCGGGAGCCUAGCUUGACUGCGAGGUCCUGGAAGGGCCGGGGUAGACACUGCUGAGCCCUGAGCGGCGUGGAGGCGGGGGUGAGGCAGGUGGGCAUGGAAACAGGAGGCACUGAGCAACACCACCCUACACCACCGUGGUGCCUAACAUCCAGAAUCCAAUCGGGCUUUCCAGAAAACCUGAACAGCUCCGGAGCUGAAGUUGGAGAUGAGGGGACUUCAAAAAAGUAAUUGGGAAAAUGGAAUUGAAAGGUAAGUUUAUGUUGGUGUAAAAAACAAAUUGAAAUCCACGCCUGGUUUCUCCAUGAUGGAAAUUUCCCGUGAACCUUGUGACGUGCACGUGCACAUGCACGGGGCCUGUACUCCGCGUUUUCAGAGGCGCACGACGCUGUCCCUGUCCCAGUGCGUGACACAGGUGAGGCACAUGCCCCUGAUGCCCCUGCCAGUGGGGCAGGCCCCGUGAGACCCCGUGGCAUGGGCAGCCAAUCCACACUUGAGACAAAGCCCACUCCUCUCCCCACAGAGCUGGCCCUGCCUUCCGGGCAGCUGGACUUGUGCUUUGCAGGCUACCCUGAGGCCUGUAGCACCUGGGCUCUGGGGGAGAGGAGGCACCACGCAUGCUCUUGUUUCUGGCGCCUGAGAAGGAGGGGAGAGCCCCCCAGAGGGUACCCUAGGCCCAGACAGUGCUGCUGAGUUCCCAGGACAUGAAACAGAGCAGUGCAGGCGGCCAGGACUGAGUUGUGGGAAGGAAGGCAGCCGGCCCAGGCCACUUGGAGAGUGAGGAGUGGGCUCGAGGCUGCAGCAUGCUCCGCACCUGCGGCGUGCGAGGCCUUCCAAGGAGGCGCCUGCCAAGCUGAUGGUGCUGAAACUCUGGGAACAGGCGCGUGCUUUUGAGCCCUGCAGUCCCCACCUGCCCACCGAGCUCAGGAGUAAUCACCUUGUUUUUUUAAAGCAAACUGCAGAAGGCAUCUGUGUGCCAGACCCACACUGGACAGGAGCAUCUUCUCCGAAACAUCUGCCAAUGGCCACGAUAACAAGGCCUUUUACAGCUGGAGUGGGGGUGAGGCUAAAACAAAGCCCGAGUCCCCCCGCCCCCCGCCUUGCUGUGUGGACAGGCAAAGGGCCCUUUUACUGCUGGACAGCCUCGGCUUCCUGAAACCAUCCGUGAAUGGCUGACUGUGUGUGGAUGGAUUCUAUCAGUAGUUGCUGGUUUCAGCGCUCCAGGUCUACUUUAGCCUUUUGUGUGGUUAUGUCGUCCCUUGAGACUCACCGUUCCGUUCGUUUCGUGUCAGCCACCCUCAGUUAAAAGGAAGGUGAAGAGCCGAGCAUACCUGCUAGUGCACAGGCAUCCAUGGAGGGGGCUCGGUCGGGGUCAGCUUCCUGCCCGUGCGCUCACGGGAACACAGAGCUUGAAGGGGCUGACUGAGCAGCAGCUACUUAGGCUCCAGGUCUCUACGUCCUCUGUGCAUGGCCCUAGACUGCCAGCAUUUUAACCUGUGGGCUGCUUUCUAAUAGUUUCUCUGCCUCCUUUCCUUAAUUCUUUGGAAAGCUUGCCGAGUCACCCCUGUCUCGUGCUGGAAGCUGUGUCUGUUGUCACCUCACCAAAUCUUCAUAGCAAGGUCUCCUUUGUGUCACUCUGCGGUUGUGGGUCGCAGUUAAAUACAUUUUGCAGCUGUGAUGAUCCGUUUUCCCAAGUCCCAGAGGUCAUUUUGCCAGAUGUGGCUCAGAAGGAGCCCGAUGUCCAUGGGAAGAAGAUGCUGGAGUCAUACUGUGUCAUGAAAUGACAACUUUUUUUUUUUUUUAAAUCCAAGGCAGUCUGAGAGGAAUUUGUUUUGAUGGAAGAAUUGUCUUUUUGGUUCCUGGUGAUGGCGACAGAAGGUGGGAACCAGAGCAGCCCUAGUCCAUACUGAUUGGAGGAUGGUGCCCUGUCUGGGAUGAUGCUACUCUUAGGGCACUAGGCCUGGUGCGCGGGAGGUGCUUUUGUGCAGAAUAGAGCAAGGCCUCCCUCUCUCUAUGGAUGGCGACAGCCUGGUACCAGUGUGUGUGGCUCAGGAAGUGGAGUACCAGCUGGCGGCCAGCUCCUGGUGCACCCUGUGCCUUGCACAACCUGGCAGCUCUGUGACGACUGUGACGGUUUUGUGUGUGUGUGUGUGUGUGUGCACUCACUGGAAUGGGCUUGGUUGGGAAAGCCACAAUAUUAAAGGAGAGAAGGUAGCAGAGGGACACAGGUACAGAACAGAAUGGUAGGUUGGCAAGUGGAGAACAAAGAAAUUAUUCCAGGCGCAGGUAUUUGGCAGAGUGGUUAAGACUCCACUUGGGACCUCUGUGUCCCAUGUCAGAGUGCAUGGGUUCGAGUCCUGGCUCCGCUUCUGACUCCAGUUUCCUGCUAAUGUGUACCCAGGGAGGCAGCACAUGAUGGUCCUUGUACUUGAAUCCCUGCCAGCCACAUGGGAAACCUGGAUUGAGGCCUGGGCUCCUGGGUUUGGCCCCAGUCCAGCCCUAACUAUGAUGGGUAUUUGAGGAGUGAUCUAGUGGAUAGAAAAUCUCUCUCUGCCUUUUAGAGAGAGAGAGAGAGAAUAUGAAUCAAUCUUGCAUUUGCUGAUUCACUCCCCAAAUGUUUGCAUUUGGGCUAGGCUGGAGCCAAGAACCAGGAAAUGCAUCUGGAUCUCGUAUGUGGGUGGCAGGGGCCCAAGCACUUGGGCCAUCUUCCGCAUUUUUUCCCAGGCCAUUAGCAGGGAGCUGGAUCAAAACUGGAGCAGCCAGGACUUCAUCCAGUACUCAUACGGGAUGUCAAGCCAGCCUCAAUAAAUAAAUUUUUUUUUUUUUUUUUUUUGGCAGGCAGAGUGGACAGUGAGAGAGAGACAGAGAGAAAGGUCUUCCUUUGCCGUUGGUUCACCCUCCAAUGGCCGCCAUGGCUAGCGCGCUGCGGCCGGAGCACCGCACUGAUCCGAUGGCAGGAGCCAGGUACUUAUCCUGGUCUCCCAUGGGGUGCAGGGCCCAAGGACUUGGGCCAUCCUCCACUGCACUCCCGGGCCACAGCAGAGAGCUGGCCUGGAAGAGGGGCAACCGGGACAGAAUCCGGUGCCCCGACUGGGACUAGAACCCGGUGUGCUGGCGCCGCAAGGCGGAGGAUUAGCCUAGUGAGCCGCGGCGCCGGCCUAAAUUAAUAUUUUUAAAAAGGGAAAUCAUGGAGCCGGUGCUGUAGCAUAGUGGGCAAAGCUGCUGCCUGCAAUGCCGGCAUCCCCUCUAUGGGUGUUGGUUCGAGUCCUGACUCCUUAUUUCUGAUCCAGCUCCCUGCUAAUGGCCUGGGAAACAGUGGAGGAUAGCCCAAGUGUUUGGACCCCUGCCACUCGCAUGGGAGACUCAGAAGAAUCUCUUGGCUCCUGGCUUCAGUCUGGCCUAGCCCUGGCUAUUGCUGCCUUUUGGGAGUAAGCCAGCUGAUGGAAGAUCUCUCUCUCUCUAACUCUCUUUCUCUCUCUCUUUCUGUAACUCUGACUUUCAAACAAAUAAAUACAUCUCUUUUUUAAAAAGGAGAGAUUAUUCCAGAAUUGGAGGGGAGGGAGAAGGAGUGGUUGCAGCUGGCCCCUGCUCGAUUUAGGGUCCCCGUACCCCCCUUGUUGCUCGUAGCCCCGUCCCCUGGAACCCAUGGCCAGAAUCCAAGUCAUGUUCCAGUCGCUACCGCGCUGCUGCCGCGUGACCUUGCCUCUCGCCGGCCUUGGAUCCCCUCCCCGCGGAGCCUGGAGCAGGGCUUGCUCAGGGCCUACUUGAGCAUGUUCCUGGGCUCCCAGAGCUUUCUGAGCAGAGGAGUUGGAGGCUCUGGGGCUCUGAUGUUCUCCCCUGGGCUCACACACGAGCGCCUCCCCUGCCCAGGUUUCCUUCAGCCAAGGCGGGCUGAGCCGGUCCUUGGUCUCUGAGGGCAGCGUUGUCUCUGCUCCCGUACUGUCCAGUUCCCCUGUGGAGUGCAGAUGUGCAGAGGAAGGGCGAGAGUGCGGUCAUAAUAACAAGAAAGCAAAGCACGGAAGCAGAUGUGUGUCGGCUGCGGAGAGGCCACUGUGCCGUGAUGGGGCCUGUUGACGAGCUGCAUACACGUCGUGGUGGCCUUGACUCUUUCCAUCCUAGGGAACAUUACUGAUCACUCAUUAUUAUCACCAGAUUCACGGAGGAUUUUGCUACCGCGAUUAGUAACUUGCUGGAGUUCAGAGGUGAAAGAAACCACAGUCGAUUUUUCAUCCGUUCCUCUUAUUUAGAUAGCACUUUCUCUGCUGAGUUCUGUUUCCUAAAAUUCUAGGAGAUUAAUUUGCAUUUUGAAUGCUACAGUAACCACCCCACCUCCCUUUGGCAACUCUAAGUGUAAAAGGCUGGCACAGAUCAGUGCACACUUGAGGUCGUGUUACUGGGGUGACUGCAGGAUAAUGGGCGGUCUAGAUGGCUCUGACGUGGGAACAGAUGAGCGUAGCGUCUUAAGUAGCAGAAGAAAGGGGACUGAUGGCUGCGCCCGUGGACUUGGAGAAGUUUCGGCCUGGGAUCGGGACGGGUUCAGAAGUGUCCAGAAUGUCCUGGGCUGGCCUCGGCGUUCGCUUGAACAGGCUGAUUUCAUUCAAAAGGCUCGACUUUGCAGGUAGAGGAUUAUGUCUUUCAGUGAAGUACGGAGAUGAGUGUCUUAGAUUCAGGGAAAAGCGGGUUCUGGGAGUCAUUUCCUGGUCGGUGACCUGGUGCGGUCCACGUGGUGAAUUAGCUGGAGUCCCCUCAUUCAGAAGGGCCGCCGUGAUUUUGCCCUCUGUGGGUGUUUUUAAAUCUCAUUAAUAGCUUCCUCUGAAACUCAGCUGUGAAUCGCUGCCCUUGAGAGAGGAGUCAGCUGCUGCAAGGCCGGGGGGGGGGGCGGUUCUUCCAGCAUAAGGUGACGUGGUUUUCAUUCCCUGCCUUCUAGAAACUGAACUCACAGGCAAGUUCCACCCAUUGUAAGUUGUUGGAAUCCCGUUUGCAUUCGUAAGUUGCAGGAGCACUUCAGAAUCUAGGUAAUACAUUUUAUGUGUAAUAGUUUAAUUCUGUAAUAGUGUACACAGAAGAGAAUGCUUGACUACAUUGGUGCAAGGCUUGUUUCAUUGUAUUUUAGCAAGCUCAUCUUUGCUUCGUUGUGAGACUCAUAAAAGCAUUAGUGUGUAAAUAGUUGAAUCAGAGUGUAGAGACCAGGCCCUCGUGCCCACCUGCUGUCCCCCUUUGCACCCUGCCUGGUCCCCCAUGCUGCGUGGGACCCUUACGUGGCCCCAGCUGCACCACCAGUGGUUGCCCACUUGCCAGGUGCACCCUCCUGCAGGGCUCGGCCUGGCUGGAGGCCUUGGCGGGAGCAGGCAGCCCUAGCCCGCCACACCGCUGGCUGUGCUCAGCUCCACCCCCCCUCAGGGCCUGCACACGAGAUCCACGGGCCAGAUGUGCUCACCCCAGAGGGCGGCUUUGUGCUUCCUGGGCCCACGCCCCACAGUGUGCCUUAGGCACGAGGCCCCCUGGCUCCUAGAUGCAAACCUAAACGCCUGUGCAGACCUGCCGUUCGAUAAAGUCGAAGUGACGGCCUGACGAAGUCUUGGUUCUGCUUGUCUUUUACUUUAAAGGUAAUGACCGAGCUUUUCUUCCCCCCUUCCUUAGCAGUGUGGCCCAGAAGCAGUUGCCCUUCGGUAGAAAGCAGACCGAGGUCAAAUCCAGGCGAGGCGGCUGUCUGUGGGGACAGGGGAGGGGGCACCUUGAUGGUGGGGGGCCAGCAGCCGUGCCCAGUGUGGGCGAGGAGGUCCUGGGUGCGUGUGGGCUGCAGCCUGACGCUUGCGGCGUUGGAAGCCACGUUGAGCGAGUGGUGUGUCGCUCUGGGACUGGGGGCUCAGUUGCAGUGAUGGGAGGGAGGUCAGUCAUGGCAGGAGGAGUGGCUGAGACAUGAAGAUACCUCGGGUACUGGGUAUCACGUUUCUCGCUGCAGAGAAGAGAAGCAGAAACGCAAUAUGGAAGGGGAAACGUGAAACUGAACGCUGCGGGGGUACUUUCAAAUCGGGGCUGUCAGCAUGAACUCCCGCCAGACGUGAGCGUGUGUGUGUGUGUGUGUAUAUGUGUGUGUCUGUGUAAGGGUCUGAAGACUUCUGUGACUUCCCUGGUCCUUGGCCCUGAGCUGUAGCAGCCAGGAGCACCCCUGGUGCCCAGAUCGUGGCUUCUAAACACCACUGUGCUCCGAGAGGAGCCAGGGCUCCGUGGAGAGCUGGCUGACUGCAGGGCCUGGUGGGAGAGCACACAGCCUGCUGAUGGCGUUGCGCCAGCAAGUAAGGACAUGCCAAGAGAGGACAGCGGCUGUCCAGAGGGCUCCGCAGCCGCAUUGCAGGAGCGCCCCCGGCCAGGCUGGACAGGGCCAGCAUCAGAUGGAGUCAUGAGACUCCCCCAAGAGAAGCACUGUCCACACCAUGCAAGGAGGGGCUCGGCACUGCCGCACAGCCUGGGUCUCCAGGGCCGGGGGCACCUCCUCGCUGCUGCUGGGUGUGCAGCAUCACACAGUGCUCCCAGUGCGCACAGGGCGGUUUGCAGAGACUGGCCCGCAGCUGAAGAAGCUCCCAGCCCCACAGCUGUCUCAGGAAAGGCGAGAGGGCCACGGCUGCGUUUAGGAUGGGUAUUGAGACGGUUCUGCUGUGUGCAGGGACGGACAUCGCCACUCGUCUUGCUGUGCUCCCUGGGUGACCCCCUCCCGUGUAGAUCUACAGCAGUUCCUAAGAAACCGGAUGCAUUGGACUUCGGAUCUUUACCAUAUACCUACAAGACCAUGUUUUUUCCAGGCAGGCCUAUGUUGGAUCUCUUUCAUUCAUUUGCAUUUUGUUCACAGUCAGUAUCAUUUUGUCAUCCUUUAACUAAAAUACUCGAUAACUUUAUGUAUUCUAGGUAAACAGUUAUAAGGUUAAGAUUUUAAAAACCAGAUUUAAAAAAAAAAAAAUUGGUUUACUAGAUUUGUAGUUAGUUCAGGUUGAAACAGUGAAACCUGAUCGGGCCUGGGAGUGUGCUCUCUGCUGCUUUGUAGGAACAGGGGCAGCCAGAGCACUGUGGGCUGUGGGGGAGGGGAGGGAGCAGGGUGGGGUGGCAGUGUUAGGGGCGUGCGCUCGAGAGGCAGGGGCACAGGGGCCGUCAUCCAUGGCCCAGGCUCCAUCUCAGGCUUUUCCCAGCGGGUGAUCAGAGGGCCCCUUCCUUCCUCCCACUUGACUUCCUGUCCCCAGGGUAUCUUGUCUGUUUCACGUCUAAGGAGACUGAGACAAGGCUCAGUGACCCGGUUUCAGAUUGUCUCUGCCUCAACGUUUAGUAGCAAAUAUUGCUUUAUUGUCACCUCAACGUUUAGUAGCAAACAUUGCUUUAUUGUCAUCUCCUGAAAAACGCUGAGUGACGAAAUGUUAACCUGCUCCAGAAAUAGGUAAUAAUGCAGGGAAGAAUAUUAAUAUGCUUACUGCAGUGCCUGGGCAAAUCGCCCCAUACGUGGGAUUGUUAGGGAAUCUGUGAGGGUGCGCGUUGUUCCUCAGGGGAGCUGAGACCCCUGGCGCGAUCCCUUGUGCACCGCGUGUGGGGCGCGUCCGCCGGGCUGGCGGCUCCGGAGCCCGUCCUCAGUCACCUCGCGUGUCCUGUGAGGCCCUGUCCCAACAGGGACCCGCCUGCCUUGCUGGGAGUCAGCACCGGUGUUGGGUCUUGUUUCCGGGAAGUUGUUGAUUUCUCCCACUGAUGGAAAGGGAUGUCAGUGAGUCCUUGACCAGUGUUUGCUCUCGUCCCCGCUUCUCCUCCGUGUGAGGUCACCCGCCGGCCGAUGACGCCCUUGGCCGUCGUGGCGCCCAUGGGAGCAGGCCGGGAUUCCAGAGAGGGCUGCUGGAGCGAGGCUAGUGGGAUUGGCAGAGGGGGAGGGCGUCACGGGGGUCGUGGGAGAAUUCAAGGGCAGCUGGGCCUCUUGUCCUUGCUGGGUCCCAGUGGGAAUCUGUUCCGGUCUCCUCGCUCUGGCUGUUUGCUCUGUGUCUCAGCUGGGCUGUGGCCGGGCCUCCCAGACUAUGCUGCUGGCGUUUCCAUCUCCUCUCCUACACUGAGGGGUGGCGGUUAUCGCUGUGUCGCCUCGGCCACCAUCUAGGGCCAGCCCCGGCCUCAGGUUGCCAGCGCGGCUGUGGUCACGCCCGUGGGCAGGGGCUGGCAGGGCAGGCCUGACCCCUCGGGGCAGCAGUGGCCCCAGCGGUGCUUGUUGACGGAGCAUCGUCACGUUCGGAGCAGUUCCAGAUCUUUCAGCUGCAGAGCAGCCUGGAAGAUGGAUGUUUUCAUUUCCUUAGCGCAUUGCUAAUUCAUAAGCAUCUGCCCUGCAGACGGGAGCUGUCUGCCUGCUGCUUUGCUCAUUCCACGCCUGCGUGGAAGCCUUGGGGAAGACGGCGGAGGAGAGGCCGUUCUGCAGCGCUCGGGCAAGAGUGUGUCCUAUUUUGAGAUGAGGGGGUUGGGGCUCCUGUGCCUCCUUUUACUUGCUUGCUUGCUUUGAUUCACUUUCAUUAGCUGUGGUAAUUAUAAAGAAUCAAAUUCAGAGAGUAGUUUAACUCUUGGUCCUUGAAAUUUGCUUCUGCUUCUGUUUUAGUGGGAUUUUCACCCCCUCUCGUUUUCUGUGUCUUUCUAGUUGUUUAGUGGAAUAUCAGAAGAGGUUGCACUAGGAGCUGUGGAUGGAAAAUCUGUUAAAUUGAAUUGAAUACGUUUUAAGGAUUGGAAGUUCUGGUUUAACUUUUGUUCCCUAGAGUAUUACAUCAAGCAGACGGUCGUCAUACAAGCUCGCGUUUUUCUCAGCCCUCUGGUUUGUCAGCAUCGACUGCGAAUGAUCGUAUUUGGAGUGUUAGGACCGUGAUAAACGAUUCUGGGCCAGGAAACGUGGGAAGCAGCGCCAGGGUCCUGAAUUUCCAGCAGCGUCAGAUAACUGUUUGUUGGGUUAUUAAACCCGAUAGAAUGAGAGUGACGCUGUCAUUGGGUGAUAUUACCUGGUCCGUAUUAUAUCAAUGCACAGUAGCACCCAAGUGCAGAGAGCUGAGGGAAGAGUGUAAGUAAUGGGAGCCACAGAAAGUACAGGAGCUGGCGCUGUGCGGCAGGUUAAGCCGGCGUUUGAGACGCGGGCACCCCACACCCCUCACCGGUUUGAGUCCCAGCUGCUCUGCUUCCCAUCCAGCUUCCUGCUAAUGCCCUUGGGAGGGCAGCAGGUGAUGGCUCAAGUCCUUGGGCCUCUGCUACCCAUGUGGGAGACCCAAAGAAGCCCCUGGCUCCUGGCUUCAGUCUAACCCAGACCUGGCUGUUAUGUUACGGCCAUUCGGGAAGUGAACGAGCAGAUGGAAGAUUUCUCCAUUUCUGCCUCUCCCUUUCACGUUGACAACUCUACUUGUCAAAUAAAUAAAUAAUUUUUUUAAAAAAUGCAGAUACCAGUUUAUUAUUAACCUCUUCACUUUGCAGUGAAAUGUCCACAUGUUGAAUUUUACUGAAUUUUAGAUCCAGUUGGUUGAAGAUUCUUCAACUUGGAACUCACAUCAGUGGGACCAUUUCCCACCUUUCCUUAACUGCUUUCGGCACUGGAAGCCACCAAUGAGGUCAGAGUGCAGCAUCACAGUCACAGUCCACGCGGCAGUGUCCACCGCAGUGUUCACGGAGCAUUGUAAACAUUUGUAUUCAGUGUGAUUUUUUUUGUUAACUCUUUUAUGAGGUUGAUAGAAUUAAAUAUUUAAGAGUUUAUGAAUUCAGCCACUUAAUUAUCUUCCCAUGUUGCAAAAUAAGCAUACCCAAAGUUGACUUAAAACACAUAGUUGGAGUAUGACUUGUGUAUGGAUAGGCACACACUAGUAUGUGCAUAGCAUUUGUCUUGGUGUAGCUCUGUGCACAGAGGGAAGUUGUGGUGUAAUGAGUGCAUGGAGGAGACCUGACUUCCAGACUUCAGUUACAAUGUAAGUAGUAACUUUCCCAGCAGCUCAAAGCCCUUGUGUUCAAAUGCUCAGGAGGAAUAAAGGAGACAGGGUACCUGGACUCCCGGCCGGCGUUGGGUGCUGUGUGUGUAGCGCAUGUGUGCACCUGCCUUCUGUCUCCGACUUCUGUUUCUGCUAAGUGCAGUAGCCACAGCGGUAACAGUUCUGAUUCUACUCUGUUGUUUCUGCCAACUUUUACUAAUAAAGCCAUACUUUGGCAUGUUUACCUUUUAAGUUUUUUUGUUUGUUUGUUUGUUUUACUAUGGAUUCAUGUUUCUUAGAAUUUUAUGAAGGCAUUUCAAAAUGUUCUAGAAAAGUGUCAUUAAAAUAACUUACUUUGAUGUGAAAAUGUUUGAAAUGCAUGCAUAUGUGGGUAUCUUCCAAAAAGUUCAUAGAAAUGCCUAUUAUGAAAAAACUAUGCAUGAAUUUCAAAAAUUUUUCCCCAAAACAAACAUCUUUUACUUCCCUUCUCCCACCUACUAUCUGAAGUGCCCUUGUGUUGCAAGGGUUCUUUGAGGCAAGAGUCGAGGACGGGUUCUUCCAGAGCAGGUUGCCUGUGCUUCUCGAGGGUGACCGGGGCCAUUCCCGACCCCUGGGGCCACGGAGACUCAAGGCUCAACUUGGGCUUCUCGGGGACCUCGAGUUACUGGCCACAGCUCUGUCAGGGCUGGCUCUCAUUGUUGAGUUCUUGGAGAUACACGAAUCGCCCCCCAUUCACUGAGUGCCAGGAUUUGAGGCAGGCAGCAGGUUUUUUAAGAUUUAUUUAUUUAUUUAUUUGAAGGUCAGAGUUAGAGAGGGAGAGAGAGAGAGAGGUCUUCCAUCUGAUGGUUCACUCCCCAAUUGGCCACAGUGGCCUGAGCUGUGCUAAUAGGAAGCCAGGAGCCAGGAGCUUCCUCCAGGUCUCCCACGCAGAUGCAGGGGCCCAAGGACUUGGGUCGUCAUCUACUGCUUUCCCAGGCCAUAGCAGAGAGCUGGAUGGGAAGUGGAGCAGCCAGGACUUGAACGGACACCCAUAUGGGAUGCCGGCACUACAGGCAGUGGCUUUACCCGCUACGCCACAGUGCCGACCCCUCUCCCCGUGUUUCUGACAGCCUUCUGAGACUGUGAAAACUGAACCUAAGUCAACCCCCACUCCAGCAAGUCCCCCCAGGGCAGGGACCUCUUGUCCCCUGCUUACUCUGAUGGGGAGUGGGGAGAGGGAGGUCCUGCCAUCACUUAGUCUUUGAGCUCUGAUCUCCUUAAUGAACAGGCACGUCGUAGUUGUGUUUUUAAUGUCUCAUCCAACACUGUCCGUUUUCAGUGGGAGCAGUGAAUCCAGAAAGAAAAGUCCUCGCUUCUCCUGAGCUCUUCUUUCCGUAGCCAGGCCACUUGCACUGCAGGGGCUGGGACGGCCCACAGAAUUAAUGUUGGGAACACAUCCAGGCCCUGCUUGAUAUUCUGCUCACCGCUUGUUCAGGGUCCCACUCUAGUCAGACAGCUCUAAUCUUUAGAGCCUUUUUUCCCCUACACUGAGCUAAAUUCUGUCUCCCCUCAAUCUCUCCCGGUUGUUUAAUGUUCUCCCUUUUCCAAAUGGCCUUUCCUUCCCUGCUUCCAUCCCGCUCCCUCGUGUGGAUCGAACGCCCUCAGCGUCUCCAGCCGCUUCUCCAGGCAGCGGCGUUUCUGAUGAGUCCCCUCAGUCUGGCAUCGAGUUUUUUGGUUUUUCAGGAAUUUCAUCUCAUAACUACUCAUAAUACCCCAAAUAGGGCACGGCCGUGGCUCAUCCAAGUGUGUAGACUGGCCGGGACCCUCCUCUCAUGCUCUCAGCGUCUUUCUGUCAUAGCCCUGUGGCACAUUUCCAUACAGAUGACAGAGCCAGUGGUCAGUCGUCCCUGCCCCCCGACCUGCUACCCCCAAACCCAAUCUUUUUCGUGUGAAUGGUUUUAAGCCAGAUCUUUAUUGUAAAAUUAUGGAUAACAUGCCUUCACCAAACGAAAGUAAAAUAUAUGCUAUUAUAAUGAUGCAUUUUUAAAAAAUUACUUGAGAGGCAGAGAGAACUCCCUUUUGGUUGACUCCCCCGGAUACCCGCAGUGGCCAGGAGGACCAAGCUGAAGCUGGGAGCCAGGAACUCAGUCCAGGUCUCCCGUGUGAGUAGCAGGAACUCAGUUAUUUGAGCCAUUGCUGCUGCCUCCAAGAGCCUGCAUUAGCAGGAAGUUGGAGUCGGGAGCUGGAGCUGGGAUCUGGCCCUGUGCUGUGAACUGGAAGCGUCUUAGUCUCUAGGCCAAGCACCACCCUGGGUGUGAUUCCUGUUUGAGUGGACAUGUUAAGGCCCUGACACGAUUCUGUCUAUCUUUACUUAAGAGUAAUUUCCUUGAAUAGAAAAUUAGAGAGAAUCUGGAGAGCUCCCAAGUUGUUUAAAAAACCUAUCACUUUGAUUUUCAACGUGUUGUCCAUCAGUUCUGCCUGCAGAAGUUGGUAGUCACUCAGCGAUAAUUGGUCAUAACCAAAUCUGCUGGAUUCGUGUGCCUCGUGGUUACUUUGACUGUGAAAGAUUAUGUUUUACAGAGGAGUUCCAUGCUCUAUCUCUAACGGAAGAGAUGAAAUUUCUUACCUUUUACGUCAGUUGCUGUUUUAUGCUGAAUGCAUCAAUUAGCUAUCCUGCUGAUUUCAGUCUUAUUGUACAUAAUAUAGUAAAAAAAAAAAAAUCCCUUAGUUGCAAUUUAGAUUUUUUGCCAUAAAUGUUUGUCAGAGGCAGUGAAAGUCACAGUUAAAGGCGUUACUGUUCUUAAUUCAUUGACACAGGACUCUGCUCUCUUCUCGAGUUAAACCUGAGUCCACGAGUGCUUUUCAGUAGCCUCCCUGUUGCAUUUCCUUCCUUUUGGCUGUAGGGAUACACGGCUGCACAGGCUCGCCAUGAUUACGUGCGUGAUGAGAAUCGUUCUAAACUGCACACGAUGACUUUGGCAUCUAGUUAAUGCAUUACCGCGAUGACUAAUGAAGCCACUAGAGCAGGGACUCAGCCCUGGAGUGUGUGUCAGAGCCAGGAGAGGGACGCCUCCGUGCCUCUGAACAUCUUUGACAGAGACAUUUAACCAGGAAGAGCUGUGGGUUGAAAGUUAUUUCAAGGUUUACGAGAAAAGAUGUGUUCAGUGAGUUUUUACAAAACUUCUUUUCUGGAAAUAAAAGUGGUUAGAGUCCCAAGUUAGGGAGGUAGAUGAAAGCUUCCUAGAUGUGAUUAAACCAACUCAGGCAGUAAAUUAAACAUGCUUUAUUGUUAAUGGUGAAAAAUGUUUCUUUCAUUGGUUUUGAUUAGAAGCAUGAAUUAACUCGGAGUCCUACCACAUAUUUUUCAGAGAGGGCUUUUUAUGCUACCGUCUGUUAGUGAGCUGGAGAUAGAGCUUUUAAAUCUAAAUUCAUCUUCAUAAAAGGGCUAAAAUAAUGAAAAACAUGAGCUAUUACACCACAAAUAAUAUUGAUUGCUGGCCUUGCUCUGUGCAUUCCCUAAGUGCGAAGCAGCCUGGAAAGAGGAAGAACGUCUGUGCGUUCUUUCUUGGAAACGAGAACAGGGAAAUGAUCCUCAAAGAAAGCGUGUGUCGGAGCCACUGCUUUUACAAGUCCUCAGUGGAGUGAGCAGGAGAGCACCUCACUGCCUGCCUUGGUUUAAGUCGUCUGAGUGAGGCAGCUGUGGCCCAGGUAGGGCCUGGCGGCAAAGGGGAGAGUAGUGCCAGGCACUCUCUACGUCUUGCUUUUUAAACCUGCCUGUAUUAGCACUGCUGGCAGCGCCUGUAAUGAGUGCCUCCCUGUCUGUCUUCCCAUCUGACUUGCAGGAGUUUGCUCCUGCAGCAAAACGCAUGGGACUCUUGGUCCCCAGUGUUAGGCCCCCGGUAAACAAGCACCCCUGAAAACAUGUGGUGACCCAAGACGGAAACAGCUUAGGUAAAAGUGAGAAAUAUCUCCCGAGAGAAGAACAACGAGGGAAAGGAGUGUGUGAGGAUCGGGUUCCUGUGUGCUGGACUGGAUGGUGGAAGGGGUGACACAGGGUGCUCUGCGCACCUCUGCACUGCGAGGGCUCAGCAAGGACAGGCACGUUUUGCUCUUUCUUCCCCUGGUGUUCACUGAGUGUCUUCAUGGCACAGGCACCAUGAAAUGCAGUAGAGGGACAGGAGCAAGGGAGGGAGACAAAAAUCUGCCGUCGCGGAGUUCGCCUUCUGUUGGAAGGACUUAAAAAUGACCCACACCAAGGCACUUCAUUGUGAUGUUCAAAACACCGUGGAUGGAGAAAAUGGAGUAAAAAUGUUUAAGAGAGGAAAAUAAGGUUAUGUUUAAGAGAUCAAUACUCAAAUAGCAUUGAUCCUCUUGGUAAUGAAAUUAUAUGCUCCUUUUUAGAGGAAAUGCCUUCUAACCCACAGUUCUAUACCCAGCCAAACAGUCAAGUGCGAGAGAACUCCACUACUGUGGAUCCGCUGCACACAAUGAGGGAGUAAAACACAAGAGGAAGAUGUGGGAUGGACGCAGGAAAUAAGGAGACAGCAGAAGGAAUGGAGGGGGUGGGAGGUGCAUGGCCCACUCAGGCUGGGGGGCCAGGGGCUGGGGUUCUGGAAGGAGCAGCUGUGGUGGGAGGGUUACAGAGGCCAGGAUCCUGGGAGCUCCGUGAUGACCCCCUGGGCUCCUGUUCAGAGCAGUUGUACCACUGUGACAGAAGGUAUAGAGGUGAAUUCAUGCUGGAAACCUAGGGGACUAUCCGCAGUGUCCUAGCCAGCUCCAGGAGAAAGGAAACAGGCAUGGCGGGGAGAGUGGCCAGCAUGGAGACACUGGAUUCCAGCUGCAGGAUGGGGGUGUGUAUCUGUGAGGGGCACCGAAGCCUUAGGAGUACGUCCCUGGAAAAUCAAGGCAGAGCAGCUCGGAGGACCAGGUGGCCCCACACCAGCCUGCCGAGGAAGGCUGUAAUUCCCACUCCCGUGUGGCUUAAGGUACAGGACAGGGAGCUGCCAUUCAGGAGCGCGACCUCUCGGAGCCCUUGGCUGUUCACACCUGUGGCAGUCGGUCUCUGAGGCGGCAGGGAGGAGAGGUUAUUAAGGGGAGGUUCCUGGGGAGCCACCCCAAGACUUCCAGAGUGGACACUGGUUUAAUAUAUCCCUUCUGGACGCUCCUGCCUAUCACACGUGUGGGGAAGGGUGGCGGUGUUUGCUUCGUUGCUUGUGUUGUGGGCACUGACGUUGACCAGGAGGUCUGGGGUGUGACUGCCCACGGGGCGCCUGCAGGCGGGAGGGCACCCUGGGCCAGUGCUGUCCUCCCUCCGCUUCUUCCUCCCAGAGGUGGCUGGAGUCCCACCACUGAUUAUGCCAUUUCCACUGGGCUGGAUGGAGAAAUCCUCAACUCGAAUUUCAUUCGCUUGAGAUGCUUUUGGAACGAGUUAUGAAAUCACGUACUUGCCCCGCGGCCGUGAUGUGUGUGCCGUCAGUUGGUUGAGUGCGACGGCACAGCGCCCAGGUCAUUUUACCUUCUCUAGCUGAAUCACUUUUCCUGGUCUGUGGUGGAGAUAAGAUUCUGAGAAAUGUUAAAAAGCAGGUGCUGAUGCCAGUGACUGGAUUGUUAGAAAUAUGCCUCUUCACUAGCAAGAAAGCACUGAUAGGCCGGGCCUGCGUGAAAAUCCAGGGUGAGUGCAGAGAUUGAAUGAGGAAUGUCUGCACCACUCUCUCCCAAGUUGAAACGUUCCAUCUCCCAGCUCUUAAGGACAACUCAGGUUCUGACUGAUGCUGAGAUAAGCCUUUAGUACGAGUUUAGGGUUAGGGCUAGGUUAGGCUUACAUCAUCAGAGUUCCUCCUUGAUGCAGAUUGCUGCAUUUCUUCCUAGAAUAAAUGAAGCCGCAGUUCGCCCAGGCUCUGCAGUCCGAUGUACAGACUGAAGUGUGCCAGAUUAACCAGCUUAGAUAUGGGGCCAGGCUGUUGUGCCAUCUAAAGAUGUUGUUGAAAAAUGUGCUUACACUAAGUGUUUCUAAGAGAUUGCAAAAUGUUAUAGAUACUUAAAAUUUACGAUGAACAUACAAAAUUAUCAACUACAGCAAAUCCUCAGCGUGUGUAUCAAGUGCCCGUGGAGUGGAUUCAUAGUUGGCAAGGUGGGGGAUCCCCUGUCUCAGAGACUGGAGACUUUGAAGCCUUCUUCUUGUCCAGCGUUAUGGGCAGAUGUCUUCUUCCAAGUCCUGCUUCUUCAUCUAUAAAGAUGAGACUCACCAUGGUUUGAUUCAUCAGAGUACCACCUCUUACUGCACUGAUAGGUGUUUGGAACCGAAGGGCUCCCACGGCGGCCGUGGACUGAUCAGGUCUGCAUCACAGAGACUUGAGGAAGGGACAUGGUUCGCUCCUCAGCAGGUGGAGGUGGCCUCUGCCGCCCACUGCCCCGCGCUCUGUGACGCCCCCUUGGGGCAUCAUUUUCUUUUCCUUUUAAAUAUUUAUUUAUUUGAGAGGCAGAGUCACAGAGAGAGGGAGAGACAGAGAGAAAUGUCUCCGUCCACUGGUUCACUUCCCCAGAUGGCCGCAACAGCUGGAGCUGCGCCAAUCUGAAGCCAGGAGCCAGGAGCUUCCUCCAAGGUCUCCCAUGUGGGCGCAGGGGCCCAAGCACUUGGGCCGUCUUCUGCUGCCUUCCCAGGGAGCUGGAUCAGAAGUAGAGCAGCAGAAACACAGACUGAUGCCCAUAGGGGAUGUCGGCGCCUCGGGCGGAGCCUUAGCCUAGUAUGCCACAGCGCCAGCCCUCCACGGGGCAUCUUUCAACAGCUGUCACCCUUACACAGGUUGUUAUUUGUGCCCAAGUCAAUUCCCCUCUCCCGAGUCUUCUGUUAUUGGUUUUGAAACUGCCAGAGCAAAAUAGAAAGAGUCAAAGUUUCCCCUCCUAUGAAUAGCCCUUUAAUUAUUUAAAGUCAGCUACUGGUCUGGCGUGAAAACAUCACUCCUAGGAUGGAUUGCUCCUGUUCCGUCUUCCCUCACCCCUGGGUUUCCCGUCUCCUGCGCCCUCCCCGCCCCCCUGUGCCUCGGGACUGUGGCCUGCCUCUCGUCACCAGGAUGCUAUUCAUUGUGGAAGAAGCAGUGUUUGCUGAGGCAGGUCGACGUGUGCCAGGAAGUAGGGGCUUGGCCCAGGCUUGUGCUGUUUAAUCCGUACAAGUAGGUGCGGUUCCCUCUAGUACACUGAUGAGGAAACCUCAUUGCUCCAGGUGACUCGCCCCGGAGGUACCAGCUCUGUCUCUCUUCCUGACAGUCAUUGCUCCACGUCCCUGAGUCACGUGGUGCAGUCUUGCUCAUUCUUAGUGCCGAAACACAUUCCACUUUGUGAGUUUCAAAAGUAUUACAGGAUUCCCAAAACCUUUACACUGCGGAAAUACAGGAGAACCUGUCCCUACUGCAGUACCGUGAGGGCGGGGUCAGAUGCCAUGGCCUUUUUAUAUUCUUGUUUUCUGUACCUAAAUAAAAUGGAGACAUGAAUAUGUGAUGUUUUCAUUAGAAAGACUGUAUGAGUUGAUAAAGUAUGCAGUGGUGUCUGCUACGUAGUGAGAGCUCAAAUGUUGCUAACAUUUUUGACCCUCAAAACAGGUGCAUAAUGUGAAAAUAAAUGUAUAGAAGUCUCCCAGCAACAAAAACAAGAAUGGGAAUGGUCUGUGUAUGACGUCGUUAGCUUGGGUUUAUCCCCCCCAAUUUUUUUUUUUUUUUUUUUUGACAGGCAGAGUGGACAGUGAGAGAGAGAGACAGAGAGAAAGGUCUUCCUUUGCUGUUGGUUCACCCUCCAAUGGCCGCCGUGGCCCGCACGCUGCGGCCGGUGCAUCGCACCAAUCUGAAGCCAGGAGCCAGGUGCUUCUCCUGGUCUCCCCUGGGGUGCAGGGCCCAAGUACUUGGGCCAUCCUCCACUGCACUCCCAAAAUGUAUCACAGACUUUCCUCCAUAUCGUUCUCUUUCUGCCCACUACACGGUGUGCUGCCUGCCCUUCACGUAGUUAGUGAUGCCCCUGACUGAUGGGUGUCUGGGGGCAAUGGCACAGGAAGCUUUCUGGAGCAUACAUCGCCCUUCAUUAGAAGUGGUUGAACCUACGCAUUGAAAUUUACAUGUGUCUCCCUGUAACAUUUUAUCCUGAUACAUGUGGCCCGUUGCUAAGAUGUGAUGUCACUGCGUAGAUUUUGACCCUGUCAUCCACCGGAUUCCUAGUCCUUGGUUUCACUUAUUUGUUGAGAUUGUGAUCCACCCACCUGCCGGCCUUAACAUACUGAGAAACCUGGAUUGAAAACAGGUGUGCAGGUGUCACUGUGCUCCAGGGGAGAGUGUCCUCCAGGUGUGCAGGUGUCACUGUGACCCAGGGGAGAGUGUCCUCCAGGUGUGCAGGUGUCACUGUGCCCCAGGGGAGAGUGUCCUCCAGGUGUGCAGGUGUCACUGUGCCCAGGGGAGAGUGUCCUCCAGGUGUGCAGGUGUCACUGUGCCCAGGGGAGAGUGUCCUCCAGGUGUGCAGGUGUCACUGCACUCCAGGGGAGAGUGUCCUCCAGGUGUGCAGGUGUCACUGCACUCCAGGGGAGAGUGUCCUCCAGGUGUGCAGGUGUCACUGUGCCCAGGGGAGAAUGUCCUCCAGAUGUGCAGGUGUCACUGUGCCCCAGGGGAGAGUGUCCUCCAGGUGUGCAGGUGUCACUGUACUCCAGGGGAGAGUGUCCUCCAGGUGUGCAGGUGUCACUGCUCCCCAGGGGAGAGUGUCCUCCAGGUGUGCAGGUGUCACUGUGCUUCAGGAUGAGUCUCCUCCAGGUUUUCGGGUGUCACUGCCUCCCCAGGGGCGGGUCUCCUCCAGGUGUGCAGCUCUACCUGUAUUUCUGAAGGAAAAGGUCAGGACAGGCAUUGUUAGAUUCCCUUUCUGGAGUCUUAAGAAAGUAGCCAUUUGGGCUGGCGCUGUGGUAUAGCGGCUAAAGCUGCCACCUACAAUACUGACAAUCUCAUAUGGGCGCCAGUUCGAGUCCUGGCUGCUCCACUUCCAAUCCAGCCUUCUGCUAUGGCCUGGGAAAGCAGUAGAAGAUGGCCCAAGUCCUUGGGCCCCUGCAUCUGUGUGGGAGACCUGGAAGAAGCUCCUGGCUCCUGGCAUCAGAUCAGCACAGCUCUGGCCGCUGUGGCUAACUGAGGAGUGAACCAUCAGAUGGAAGACCUCUCUCUCUCUCUCUCUCUCUCUCUCUCUCUCUCUCUCUGCCUCUCCUGCUCAUCUCUGUGUAACUCUGACUUUCAAAUAAAUAAAUAAAUCUUAAAAAAAAAAAAAAAGUAGCCAUUUAGGGAGAGGUCUUUUAUCCAGUCUGGAAGGAUGGCAUGCACUAUUUGGGGAAACUUGAAGUAUAAACGACAGAUGUCUAUACUUUGGGGAAAUGUCUGAAAACUGUCUAAAAGUGCCUACAGCUUCAUUGCCAAGAAGACAAGAAAGAAAGGAGAAGUGUGAAUGCUAUUUUAUCCCAUUAGGCUAGCUGCCACAUAGCUGGCUCCAGGGCUGCCGCUCCACUUGGCAAUUUUUUAGCAAGAUUGCAUUUAAUGUAACGAGUUAAAAUGUAUUUUCAGAAUAUCGGGUUAAUCUAAACCAUUAAAAGUUGUUGCCUAAAUGUGAAGUAGAGUAGAGAACUGACUUUCGGUGUCUACUCUGCUAACUUUGCUUCUGCACUGAGCACGUCAUGGGAGGCAGCCAGAUACCCAGCUUCCUUGAGCAUAGUAAAUAGUGAGAGCUUCGCCUUUGGUGCCCGUUUUUAUUUCGUCUUUGGCUGUUUCGGAUGUCAGAGAUUAGAGCAGCCACAUGCAUUACCUCACUUGAACUCUUCAAGAACUCCGAAGUGACAGAAUGCAGAUCCCUGUUCCCAUUUUGCAACAGAAGGAAGUGGAGCACAAAGGAAUUUUCAAACCACCCAGGAAAGACAAGUGACUCUGACCACUGGGACAGUCCUGGAAAGCUUCCCCCAAGAGGUGGCCUCAGUGAAAGCUCAAAGGGUUGUUAAGGGCAAGUGUGACAAGGACCAGCCAGGCCCAGAGGCCCAGAGGCAAGAGGGUCAAGAAGCAGGAGUCUUGUGGCUGGCGCUGUGGCUCCGGUUCGAGUCCCAGCUGCUCCAUUUCUCUGGGAAAGCAGUAAAAGAUGGCCCCCAAGUUCUUGGGCCCUUGCACCCAUGUGGCAGACCCAGAAAAAGCUCCUGCCUCCUGGCUUCGGAUCGGCGCAGCUCCAGCUGUUGCAGCCAACUGGGGAGUGAACCAGAGGAUGGAAGACCUCUCUCUGUCUUUCUCUCUCUCUCCCUCUGCCUCUCUGUGACUCUGCCUUUCAAAUAAAUAAAUAUUUUUUAAAAAAAGAAGAAGCAGAUGAAGCAGCAGCAGCAGCAGCAGGAAGGAGGCAGACAUGCAGCCGACAGGUGCUGGGGGCUGAGGCCAGUGAGGGACGCGAGGAGGCCAAACCCGUGAGAGGCGUGAAUGCCGGGCACAGGAGUGUAGGCUUCAGUCUGCACCACGGGAAGUCAUGCAGAGGGAAGGGGACGAGGACAGGAUGACUCCAGCCAAGUCCCAAACCCAAGCUCUGGCCCCUGCAGCCGUUGGUGAGGAGUUGCGAAGCGUAAAUGAAGGGACACACUGGCCUUGAUAAUGGCAGAAGGCAACAGGCCCGGUCAGGACAAGUUGCAAGAGCGCCUCGCCCAGAGUCUGCACACGUGAUGUGAUGGCACACAGUACAUAUGUGUCGGGCGUUCUUGUCUACAUGGACAUGACAACAAGAAACACCCAGUAUGUGCACUGUAAUUCUUAUUUUGUAAAUGUUUCUAAGGAAUGCCGAUUGAAAGACAGGUGGGGCAGGGGUUUGGCAAGGUGGUUAAGUCGCUGCUUGGGACACUCACAUCCUCUAUCAGAGUGCCUGGGUUUGAGUCCCACCUCCAAUUCUGCUCCAGCUUCCUGCUAAUGCACACCCUAGGAGGCAGCAGGUGGUGGCUCAGGUCCCUGCCACCCACAUGGGAGACCUUCAUGGAGUUCCCGGCUCCUAGCUUCGGCCUGCCCUAGCUCCAGUGUCGCAGGCAUUUGGAGAGCAAACCAGUAGAUGGAAGAUCUCUCUGUCUCUCCCUUCCUCUCUCCCCCACUCUCUCUCCUUUUCGAAUAAAAUGAAAAUAAAUACAUAAACAUUAAAAAAUAAGCAAAGACAAAUAAAUGGUGUCAUAGCAGAAGGCAGCAGGGGUGCUGUGCCUGGGCCAGACUUGAGACAAGGGGGUUUGAGCAUUUGAAAUGGCUUAACUGGUUCGCGGGAGCACAGUGCUGCUUUCCCGUAAGAUUGUCCAGGCAGAGAGGGGCUGCACACCACGCGCUACUCUGACAGUGUCAUCACUGGGACCAGGUCCUGCCCAGCCCAUCACUUGCUGGGUCAAGGAGCUUUGAAAGCACUUUUAGACAACAGAAGUGUCACUGAUUGGUUUAAAAGGACAUCGAGCUUACGUGUGUUACGUGUGUUGGUGAUCAUGGUGGAGUCAGUUUUGGUUAGGCAAGACAGAAUGCCAUUUAUUUCAAAAUAAAAAUUAAUUAGGAAUGUAAGCCUUCACGUAUUUAAGAUUUUUUUUUGGCAAAGAUUUUAUGUGGAGACUAAAUCUUUUUUUCUUCUUUAACUGUAGUUAAAUAUCACAGAACUUCAGAAUUUCUUGGGAAGUAACUAAUGUGUAAAAUAAAAAAAAAUUGCCAGGAAUGUAUGCUAGCACCUCGGAAAUAACGAAAGAUCUCUUGUGCAGGUAGAUGCCCGGCAGGUCCCCUACACCCUGAGUCCUCGGGUUCGCACAGGCCACGCCUUUGCCUGUGGCGGCCUUUGAGAACACUGUUUUUUUUUGACAGGCAGAGUUAGACAGAGAGAGAGACAGAGACAGAGAGUAAGGUCUUCUUCCUUCCCGUUGGUUCACCCCCCUAAAUGGCCACUAUGGCCAGUGCGCUGCGCCGAUUUGAAGCCAGGAGCCAGGUGCUUCUCCUGGUCUCCCAUGUGGGUGCAGGGCCCAAGGACCUGGGCCAUCCUCCACUGCCCUCCCGGGCCACAGCAGAGAGCUGGACUGGAAGAGGGGCAGCCAGGACAGAAUCCGGCACCCCAACCGGGACUAGAACCUGGGAUGCUGGCACCGCAGGUGGGGGAUUAGCCUAGUGAGCCACAGUGCCAGCCGAGAACACAUUUUCUGUCUUCAUUUUCAGGUUCUAGGGUAGCUACUGCAUGAAUAGGCACGCAGGGUCCCUGCAUCACUUACGUUGUUAUUUGCUGGGAUAAACGUGCAAGUAUCUGCUCUUACUUUUCCUUCCUUUCGAUGUGAAUUUUAAUGUUUACCUUUUUUCUUAGUGUCUGCCGGCUCACAGUUAAGGCUGCACUAGGUCGGGGGCCUCUAGGGCAGGUAGGAAUUUAUUUAACAAAAAUCCGCUUUCUAGUAAGUAAGAAUAUUAUCUGCUACAGAAGAGGCACGCACAGUUAAAUAACCACGUACUGUGUGUGCCCACCAGGAAUUAUUCUAGAUACCAGAGAUAAAAGCCGUGAACAACACGGAACAUUGUUCUGCCUUUCAGAGCGGGCUCUGUGAUGUGGGCCUGGAGGGAGACGGGAAACAAGCAGCAGCUUUUGUUAAGUGCUCACAAGGAAAUGAAAGAGAACUGGAGACUGGGCUGAGGGUUCAUUAAUAUGUAAUGUUAUUAGGAGUGUAAUAAUUCAAGAGGUUGAAUUAUUUAAAUCUAAAAUUCAUCUCUUCAGGUGUACUGGAUUUCCUCUCCGUGCAUGUGUACGUACACACAUGUAUGCACACACACACACACACACACACACAGGAGACUUUGGAAAGUUCAUGGAAAAUAGAAUUAAAAGAUAAAAGUUUUGGCCGGCGCCGCGGCUCACUAGGCUAAUCCUCCGCUUGUGGCGCCAGCACACCGGGUUCUAGUCCCGGUCAGGCGUCGGAUUCUGUCCCGGUUGCCCCUCUUCCAGGCCAGCUCUCUGCUGUGGCCAGGGAGUGCAGUGGAGGAUGGCCCAGGUGCUUGGGCCCUGCACCCCAUGGGAGCCCAGGAAAAGCACCUGGCUCCUGGCUCCUGCCAUCAGAUCAGCGCGGCGGCCAUUGGAGGGUGAACCAACGGCAAAGGAAGACCUUUCUCUCUGUCUCUCUCUCACUGUCCACUCUGCCUGUCAAAAAAAAAAAAAAAAAAAAAGAUAAAAGUUUUUCUAGUGCAAAAAAAUGUGAAGGCCCAGCAUUGUGGUACAUACAGCAUGUUAAGCCGCCACCUGCUGGCUUGGCUCACGUUCCCACCUGCAGCGUGAAGAAGCCGCGUGAUCUCUGGGAAGAUGCAGGAGAGCAAGCCGCCGGGGUGAAUCCUACCCAGAGUCUGCUCUGAAAAGGCUAAAAGACAAGUCCUGAGCAAGCACACCGAUCCAGACCAAGUUAGCCGCGUGCCAGAACACGUUCAACACCCUUACCCCAAUCCAGCGUGAAGUCAUACAGUGAACCUUGUCUGGCAUCCCCCAGAAGUUACCAUAAACGCAGAAAGUGGUGAAGUGAGACUGGGAGUCGGGAUGGGGAUCAGACUGCAGGGGCACAUCCAGAGGUUACAGGUGAGUUAACAGACAAGAAGAGACGAGGUUAAAACCACCGCCACGGAUACAUGCCCUGCGAGCAGGAGUGUGGAGGGAACAUGUACGCGAUCGUGUGGAGGAGAGACACGUAAGGUGAAACGUGAAGUGUUUGUUGGGAAAACUGUACCGGGUUGGGGUGACAGCACGUUAGACGCUGAAGAAGAGACCAGUGAGCUUGAAGCUCUCACCGUAGGAAGUGCCCAGCAUGAGGCAAGAGAAGAAAAGCUACUGAAAAUAAAAACGAGAUAGAGCUGCAGUAAGUCCUGGGGAAAGACCAGGUUGUCUCAAAUUUGUGUGAUAGGCGCGAUUGGUGUGCCAGAGAGAAAAAUGGGCAUAGGAGGAAAGAAAGGCCAAAAUUGGAUGAAAAUAUAAGUCUACGGCCCAAGCCCCCCAAUUCUGUAUGUAGUGUAACUUCUUUCAAAACUGAAAGAAAUGUGAAAACAUUUUUAAAGAUUUAUUUAUUUAUUUGAAAGAAUAAUAUAGAGAGGGACACAGAGAAAGAGAGACAUCUUCCAUUUGCUGCUUUGCUCCCGUAAUGGUCACAGUGUCAGGGCUGAGCUACGCCAAAGCCAGGAACCAGGUGCUCCAUCUGGGUCUCCCUUGAGCGUGCAGCGGCCCAAGCACUUGGGCCAUCUUCUGCUGCUUUCCCAGACCAUAGCAGAGAGCUGAUCAGAAGUGGGGCAGCCGGGACUCGAACCGGCACCCAUAUGGGAUGCUGGCAGUGCUGAUGGCAGCUUAACCUGCUAUGCCACAGCACUGGCCUCAGACAAAUUAAAACUUAUUUCAGGAAAACAAAAGCUAAAAAUGGUUAUCACCAGAAACCAAUAUAGGAGAAAAUAUAACAGAUGGAAAUUUGGAUUUAUAUAAAAUAUAAAUGGUAAAAUGGGGGUAAAUAUAAAGACAUUUUUAUUUCUUUAAAUAAUUGAGUCUUUUCUUUCUUUUCUUUUUAACUUACUUUUUAAGGACAGACACAGAGGUCCUGCAUGGGGAGUUAGUGCACAGUGACUCCUGUUGUUAAUUUAACAAUUUACACUCAUACAUAUGACAUCAGUGACCACCCGAGACUCUGGACAUGAGCUGCCUAGGCUAUCGAAGCCUUUGAGUCCACAGACUCCGACCUUAUUUAGACAAGGCCAUGAGCAAAAUGGAAGUUCUCUCCUCCCUUUAGAGAAAAGCACAUCCUUCUUUGAUGGCCAUUUCUUUCCUCUGGAGUCUCACUCACAGAGAUCCAUCAUGUAGAACAUUUUUUACCACAGUGUCCUGAUUCUAAGGUCAGAAUAUUACUUAAAGUGAUUGUAAUUCUGGCUGGCGCCGCGGCUCACUAGGCUAAUCUCUGCUGUGGCCCGGGAGGGCAGUGGAGGAUGGCCCAAGUCCUUGGGCCCUGCACCCACAUAGAAGACCAGGAGGAAGCACCUGGCUCCUGGCUUCAGAUCGGCACAGCACGCCGGCCGUAGCAGCCAUUUGGGUGGUGAGCCAAUGGAAGGAAGACCUUUCUCUCUGUCUCUCUCUCACUGUCCACUCUGCCUGUCAAAAAAAAAAGUGAUUUUCAUUCUGUGAAUCUGCUGUGUGACUGUUUCCCAUUGUUGGAACACUCUCUCCUUUUUAAUUCUAUUAUUAUUACCAGACACUUGAUCCUAUUUAUGUGAUGACUUUAACACUUAAUCCUAUCUAUAUGUUCCCUUUAACACUUAAUAUGAUCACUUUAACACUUAAGAUGGCAUUUUUACCACCCAGCUUAAUGGGAUUUGGAGUCCUAUGACGAGCUUUUAAAUUGUACCCUUGGGAGUAAGUCCAUAGGAAUGUGUGCAUAACUAUAUAGCUUUGCAGUUAAAAACUUCCUCCUCCCUCUAAAGAAUUGAGUCUUUAAAGGCAGAUUAAUAAUGGGUGACUGAGGCAUCAAGGACAAGAGAAAGAAAACUAAGAUUCUCAUGGUGUUUAUUCCAGGAUGCAAGGUCAGUUCAUCAUCCAAAAUUCAAAUCCAUGUCAUUCACCAUAUAUGUAGACUAAAAAAAAGAUCAUGCGGUCAUCUCCACAGGUGUUACAAAAAGCAGUGAUAAGUUAAGCACUCAGGAAAUGAGGCAUAGAAGAAGCUUCCUAACUUGGUAAAGGGAGUGCAUGAGAAGUUUAUAAUCACAUUCACUGAUAAAAGACUGAAUGCUCUCCUCCCCUUACACUGUGAACAAGGAAGGAGUGUGUGCUUCCACAAGGGCUGUUUAACAAGGACUCAGCAGUAUCAUCCAGCAAGGAAAAAAAAAUUGCAUACUCUUUGGACGAAGGGGAAAAACAAACAUUUUAAUUCACAACAGUAUGAUUAUCCAUGUAGAAGAUCUACCAACAACAACAAAAAACCCAGCUACUCAUUCUAAUAAGUGAGUUUAGCAGGUCUAUGGGAUAUAAAACCAAUAUACAGAAACCAGUAGUAGUUGAGAAUGGAGAGUUUGAAAACCAAGCAUUUAAGAUGCUGUUAGAGGCCGGCGCCGCGGCUCAAUAGGCUAAUCCUCCACCUUGCGGCGCCGGCACACCGGGUUCUAGUCCCGGUCGGGGCUCCAGAUUCUGUCCCGGUUGCCCCUCUUCCAGGCCAGCUCUCUGCUGUGGCCAGGGAGUGCAGUGCAGGAUGGCCCAAGUGCUUGGGCCCUGCAUCUACAUGGGAGACCAGGAGAAGUACCUGGCUCCUGCCAUCAGAUCAGUGCGCCAGCCGCAGCACACCAGCCGCAGCGGCCAUUGGAGGGUGAACCAACGGCAAAAGGAAGACCUUUCUCUCUGUCUCUCUCACUGUCCACUGUGCCUGUCCAAAAAAAAAAAAAAGAUGCUGUUAGAAACAGUUGAGGAUAAGGAUAGGAAAGCACGUGCAGCACUGCAUGCUGAAAACUGAGAAACAGUGCAGAGGUGAGAGAGCGAGGAGGCUGUGCCCACACAGGGGACCUGAAUUGGGUUCCUGCUGCCAUUGAGGGCACCUGGGGAAUGAGCCAGCAGUGGUAGCUUACUUCCUCCAUCUGUCUCUGUCUGUCUGUCUCUCUGUGUUUCAAAUAAAUAAAUGAAUAAAAUUUUGAAUAGCAAGAUAUACCAUGUUCAUGAAUUAGAGAACUUUAUAUUAUUGAAUAUCAUUUUUCCAAAAAUUGACCUAGAUUCAGCAUAAUCGCAAUCAAAUUCCCAUACUGCUUUUUUGGUGGCAAAAAAAAAAAGUCAAAUGCAUAUUUAUCACAUGACACAGCAAUCCUUGUGUAGAUAUUCCCAAAAGGAAUGAAAAUAUUCAGAGCUGCAUUUGAGAUAACCAAAAAUGGAGGGAAAAAAACUUAGUAGCCACCAACUGAUGAAUGGGUAAACAAAUUAUAGUAAGAGUAUAUCCACAAAAGAAAAGAGUAACCAGUAGCUACCAAGAUAUGCAGUAAAACAGGUAAAUCUCAAAAAAUGUUGGCAAUUUAAAGAUUCCCAAUGCCUACAUGUUUCCAUCUACAUGGAAUUUUAGAGAGUGCAGGUGUAGUAAGGUUUCCUGGAAGGGUGAGGCGGGGUGGGGCGGGGCCUGCCUGGGGAGGCGGAGCUCAUCAGCACAGCUUGAUGCUGGCGGCCUGAUGGUUUAGAGUCAUCAAAACUCAUCAAGUCUGUACCCUCGAAAUUGGUGAGUCCUGGUCAGUGUAUGUUGUGCCUCAGUACAACUGACUCUAAAAACAUAGGAACAAACUUCUGUAAAGCUCUGGCAGUACAUGGUACCGUGGGGCACGCUGAGAAGCAGGAGUGACAAAGGCAGAAUCACUUAACUGUGCUUCUGCCCAUGCCAUCUGUGGAUUACGAAGUUCUGUUGAGACGUCACAGUGAACGCAGAUGGGAAAAUCUGUGGUCACAGAAGUGGAGCCAGGGGAAGCAAUUUCAGGCCGCAGAUUUUGAAGACAAUCAGAGGAUGAGAGGUGUUUCGGGGGCAGCUGUCUCCGGAUAUUCCAAGGACUCUAGUGUGGGGCGGGAUCGGGAUUUGUUUUUUUCUUCCUGAGAUGUUCUGGCUACACGGAAAUAAGUUUCUGCCCAGCACAAAGCAUCUCAGAUGGUUCAGGUUUGGGAAUGGUUGUGAAUGGGUGUCAUUGCAAGGCUGGCAUACAGACAGAAACUUCUGAAGAGUGAGCUCAAUUCAGCUCAUGGUGAUACUUGUUCAUUGUGUCCUGUGAGUCUACAGAGGCAGAUGUAUCGGCUUCUGCUCCCUUCUCCGCCCCGCAUCCCUGCCCUCGCUCUCAGCUUUGGUCACUGCUCCUGUUGGUGACUCAUUCUCACGAACGCGACUUUGCCCGUGGCCUCCUUCCCUGGGUUAUCCUAGGUGCCUUCCGUUCAUUCCAGUGGUGGAAACAGGAUUUGAUCAGUGUCUGGACCUCAGUGCCAAUCCUGCGACCUCACGGGAGGAUUUGAAAAGUUCACGUAAAUCCCGUCUCCCAGAGCUGGAACAAAGCAAUGAGGAAAGUGUGCCAUGCAAUGUGGACUUGCGCACUCCCGCUGGCUUUACAGAAUGGGGAUAGCACGACCUGCCGCCUGGUUGUCCAGAUCAAAUGAUUAAGUAAAAUGAUACACGAAAAUCUCGUACCUUUGAAAAGUACUAUUCACACAGAAGCGAUUUCUGGUUUGGUUAGUAAGAUGUGAAUGUUUAUCUUAUUUUAUACAUUUAUUUUGGGCUGCUUCUUAUAUAUAUAGAUAUAUAUUUUUUAACUAGAUUUGUAUUCGGGCAGAGGAUUUCAUGCAUGCGAGUGUUAACUCAUCUGAUGUGACACAUCCAGUGUGCGCGUGCUGACAGGGAGUGCCGACUCCCCCGGAACGCGGCUGAGGCUGUCCUGCUGUGGCGCUCACGUGGCUUAACUCCCAGAGUCGCCUUGCGGGCAGUGUCCCCAGGGCUCGCCGUGUGCUGCAGGCUCCAUCCCCGAAACAGCACAUCCAUUUUAUGCGUUGAAUUUUAUUACAUUUCUGUCUCUAUAAAGUGUUAGAGACAGCGGGCUUAUUGAAAGCAGCGAUUUUCAGGCAGACUCCCAAGGCCGAUGAGCCUGUUCCUUUGCCUUCCUUCAGCUGAGUGCAAGGUUACUAACCCAGCACUGGCCCAGGCCACGUUUCAGCUGCGGUUCUAAGAGUUGGCUCUACACCAUCGCCCAAGGAAUAAGGGUGCUCCACCUGAUGCAGGGACCUUUUCAUCAAUAGCAGCAGUGUGGUUGGUUCAGUCACCCGGAUCUGUACCCCUAGUGUAAUUGGUGUCAGUUCAUCUCUCGCAUUGUUUGGCUGUGUGGAAAUGGACUAUCUACAGAUUUUCAUGUCACACUAUUGUGUUGUUUUUUUUUUACAGUGACCUUUAUCUCCUAUACUUAAUUUCUCCAGAAACAUAAACUAAUCUUUAUAAUGUCAGGUCGGGGAGGGGAUGACUAUAGGGACAGUAUAUUCUGGUGAGGCAUUUACAGCAGGUGUCACCACUUUCCUCCUUUGCUGAUCUUAGUAACCUGCCAGCGGGCUCACGGCUGGCUGGGCCCGAGCCCGCCGCCUUCCCGCCUGCUCAGUCACCCUUCCCAGCUGCAUGGUGUGCCCCAGUGCUGUGGCCACCACCUCCCUAAUUCGUGUGUUAUAAAAUAUCCCUGGUUUCUUUGGGAAAGAUAGCCAGGAGGUAAGGAUGUGGCUAUAGACUGUGCACAGGGGGAGGUGUUUUUGAGUAUGACCCCCUUCUAUGCAUAUUUUUUUAGUGACCUGUUUCACUUGCGAGUUGCUCCUAGGCCCCUGCGUGAAUGCUGAAUGCCAUACAUCAUUUGCUUAGGAUUUCAUGACCUAGCGGUUCAGGAUCCCUUUACCUGGGCUGGCGUCGUGGCACAGUGGGUUGGGCUGCUGCCUGCAACACCGCCAUCCUGCGUUCGAGUCCCAGUGGCUCUGCUUCCCACCCAGCUCCCUGCUAAUGCUCCUGGGAAGGCAGAAGAUGGCCCAGAUACUUUUACUUUAAACAUCUAUUUAUUUAUUUGAAAGUCAGAGCUGCGGAGAGAGGGAGAGGGAGAGACAGACAGAAAGAGAAAGAUGUUGCAUAUGCUGGUUCACUCCCCAGAUGGCUGCACUGCUAGGGCUGGGCCAGGCUGAAGCCAGGAGCCAGGAGCCAGGAGCUUCUUCAGGUCUCACAUGUGAGUGGCAGGGGCCCAGGUACUUGGGCCGUCUUUGGCUGCUUUUCCCAGGCCAUAGCAGGGAGCUGUGCCGUCUUCCACUGCCUUCAGGCUGCAUUAGCAGGGAGCUGGAUCAGAAGUGGAGCAGCCAGGACUUGAACAGGCAUUCAUAGGGGAUGCUGGCAUCACAGACAGUAGCUUAACCUGCUGUGCCACAAUGUUGGCCCCCCAAAAGGUAACUGUUAAACAAAAAACUUUGUCGUUCAAAGAGCCUGAAACAUUGGUAAGAAAUUUAGGUUGUAAGAAUUGCUUUUAAAAUCUUAAGCCUCAUUCAUAUUAAUAGAAAUACCAACCAAAGGCACAAUGAAAUCAUUUUCACAUUUUAGAAUGUAAUUCCUUAUGUUGGUGACCAGUGAGGGAAACAUGGCCUCGUAUAUUUCUGGUGAGAAAUACUUUGACAGUAAUUUUUAAUAUUAAAAAUACAUAUAAAAUACACUGUUUGAUCCAUAUGUUUUAUUUCUAGGAAUUUAUCCUAUAGAUACAUUUUCCUAUAUGGAAAAUUAAUAACUGAAUAUUUAUUACAACAUUACUUGUAAAAAUUUUUUUAAAUUAAUCUCUAUUAAAAAGAGAUAUAUUGGUGUCCAGUGUCAUGGUGUAGUGGAUUAAGCUGCUGCCUGCAAUGCUGGCAUCCCACUUGGGUUCCAGUUUGUGUCCUACUUCUGAUCCAGCUCCCUACUAAUGGCCUGGGAAAACUAGUAAAAGAUGGCCCAAGUGCUUAGGCCCCUGCUACCCACAUGGGAGACUCAGAAGAAAUUCUAGGCUCCUGGCUUCAGAUUGGCCCAGCUCCAGCCGUUGAGGCCAUCUGGGAAGUGAACCAGCUAAUUCAAGAUUCUCUCUCUCUCUCUCUCUCUUUCUCUCUCUGUCUCUCUCACUCUCUCUCUUCUGUAGCUCUGACUUUCAAAUAAAUAAAUUUUAAAAUAAAUUAAUAGGGAUGUAUUAAAUAAACCAGGUUACAUUUGGGUAUUUAAAGAGAGACUAUGACAUUGACCAUUCUACAGGUUACUGUGUAAUAAAAGAAGCAGACAACAGAAUACUGUGUGUAACACACUAUCAUUUCUUACAUAUAUAAUCUGCUAGUAUCAGCACAGAAUUUUCUCUGGGAGGAUGCACAAAACAGCAAUAGUGCCUCUGUGAUAAAGACUAGAAUUGGAAGGGACCUACGGUUCUGUGAUAAUAUUUGAUACUUCAUGCAAAAGUUACCUUGCUAACAAUACUGUUUCUCCUACAAAUUGAUCAGAACCUAGAGGACCCCGAAAAUGAAGUACUAAAGUAUCUGAGAUUCUGAAUGCUGUAGCAAUCACAGUGAUGGACUGUAAAAAUAGGGGUGGACGCUGGACUCCGAGCACUUGACAGGUGGCAUCCUGAGUCCUGCAACAUUGCUGGGUGGCUGUAGUACUUUACAGGUUAUGAACUGGAUUCAGCAUGUGGCCCGGAGACACACAGCUGAUACGGAACAUUAUGGAAUGAAAUUGAGGAGUAACACCCAGUACAUCCAAGCUCCCACCAUUUAGGAAAGACAGCCACUUUCUUACACUCAAUUUUGUGUAUUAGAAUCAAAAUCCAUAUGAUUCCAGCAGAUUCAACACCUUGAAAUACCACUACCUUUUUGAGGAUACAUGUGUUCAUGGUUGUGUAUAACCGAGAUGUGGACUUACUGGCCUGGUUAUAUUCCAUAAAGAAAAAUGAGAUUCUUCGUGGAUAGAGAAACCUUAAAUAUGGCCCAAGUCUUAAAAAAUAAAGCCCAAGUUCACGGAGGGAAAGUUGAGCCCACCUCCCCUUACAUCUUUUAAUUGAGGACUUCUGCUUUUAUCACCAUAAAUAAAUGGGGCUUUGUGUUUUGUUUGGAGCAAGUGUAAAUUUUAGUCUUUUGAUUGCUUGGUAGUCAAGGGAUUGUUUUGACAGCUGAGAAAUUGGCCUACAUAUUAGAAUAGUUAUGUGGAGGUCUUUGGGUAUCUUAGUAUAAAAUCUAUUUAUGUCAGAUUCAGUUUAUAGCAUCUGGAGCUUUGCCUGCCCAUGCCAACAAAUUGGGACUUGCUUUUGCCACUGAGUCACUGGAACACACAGAAUGCUCCAGGCGCCUGUGUACUUCUGCCCCAUUGCUCUUUAGAAACAAGGCAUCCUUGUUUGGUCCAGUAAACGCAUUUCUGGAAGAGCAGUAGGUAAAAGGAGUUAUGAACAAAAACUUUAGUUUUUCAACUCAUUCAUUUGAAAGGUGCUUUUUGAAUUUAUGAUUCAUAUUUAUUAGAGUUCACUCUUUCAAUGGACUUGGCUUUCUGGGGUGAGCAGCUCAUAUAUAUGCCAGCACAUAAAUGUUAGAGGAGUUAAUGUGGUAUGUGACAACGGACAGAUUCACAUGUAGCUUUUAAAGCCUUGUUGACUAAUUAAAUAGUGCCCUAUAAAGUUUACCCACCAUUGUUCUUAUGUGAGACUAUAGUUAGGUCUCUCUCUGUCUGUCUGUCUCUCUCUCUCCCCCUCCCUCCCUCCCCCUCCCUCUCUCCCUCCCUCUCUCUGUCCUUCUCUCUCCCUCUUUCCCCCUCCCUGCUCCCAGCCUACCCCCUUGGUUUUAAGGCCUACAAUGAGAAAUCCUGUGAAUGUUUUAAUUUUCAUGGAAACACUUGGAAUGUCCCAAGAAUUUUAUAUCUCAUGUCUUCUCAUUUCAUAAAACGUUCAAAAGCAAAUGGCCCUGGUGUUUUGAAGACUGAGUUUGCUUGGGGUCACAUUGCCCACCCCUUCCAGAGGCCUUCUGCAGUGGCUGGCGGCCGAUGCCUGCCGCGCGUGUUCAGAGCAGCGCCCUGCACUGUGGGAUGGGACGUGGGACGCGUUCAGGACCUUGCCUGCUCCUCAUCCUCUCACAGUGUUGGGAGCUGCCCCACAGCGCCCGUGUGAGAUGUCUCCAGGGUCUGCGUCAGAGUGUGCCUUUUCUAAGCUGAGACCAGAAGAACUUUGAUUAAAAAUAGACGGGUUGUCAUUUUUGGCAGCUAGCGCAGCGUGUGCGGUUAGCAUUGUGAGCGUGUUUUCAUCUGUAGACAUGUGUCUGACUCACAGCAUUCCUGUGUAGGAAAACUGCACUUCCCCCCUGGUCCUCCUAAGACAUGAGCCACACCAUUAAAAGGGGAGAUCGAAAGUUCCAAAAUGCAAUGCAGCAAUCCACAGACACUUGAAGGCAAACGCUUCACGUGUUCAGCACUUUGAGAUAAACCAGGUGGAUGCAGAAGUUGUUGAAUCUCUCUGCUGUAAGUCAGCAGUGACCUUUCUGAGGACACGAGCCCAGCACCAGUGCGGACGGCAAAACCAAGGCACGGAGCCCUUCCCAGAGUUCACGACCAGCAGGCAGUGGAGAGGGAGUUCAGCCUGGUUUGCACUUUUAGCCCCACCAUACACUGCCCAGUUGGAAAGUUAACAUGAGGCAGAAGUUCUCGCCCUCAAAGAGCUUUUCAUGUACCUGGGAGUGGUGGCAUUCCUGGGACAGAGCUCCACAAACCAAAGCUCAUGGUCUCGUCUCGAUCUCCAGCCAUCCCCUUUGUCAGCUCUCCCACUUCAGAUUGUCUCUCGUAACCGGUGCCACCAAAAUCCAGCUUCUCCGUAAUUAGGAGUGACCCAGGUUAGAAAUGGGCUCCUUUCAGAUGUUCUGUCCCUGCCUGCCAUCUCUGCUUGCCCACUGCGGGACCUUGACUUGGCCGGCCCCAGCAUAUGGUUCGUUCUCGGCCAAGGGUUGCCACAUAGUUCUGUAAGCCAGUCCGGGGCAGGUGCAGGAGUGACAACUGCCAAGGUCCAAGUCAUUGCUUCUAAAAUCGGCUCAUCUUUGGGUUUAUCAGGAAGUAGAAGUUCUGUUGAUUUCGAUGAAAUCCAGGUUAGUAUUCUGUGACUUUCUUAUCAUAGCCAUAGUUUGGGCACUUGUUUGAAAUAUGGGUCCUUGAAAAGAUAGACUGUCGUGGAGUGGAUUUGUGCGGUAUAAAUUGUGAAGUCCUGCAGCCACCUCCUCUGUCUAGAAACAGUGCUCAUCCAUAUUUUAACACACACAUUGACAAGGGUGGCAGAAACCUCGUCUUCCCAGUAGCAGUCUGAACCCGACUGAUGGAGGAUUUAUUGCCUAAUUAUACUUGUCAUCUUGACAUAAACGUUAUUCGUUCUGGAAAAACGUGUUUGUCAUACCAGGACUGUCUAAUGAAUACAGUCAAUAUCCGGUGUAUAUUUAAAGCCAAGCAGAACAGUCAUCCCCAGAGUGGGUGUUGUGGACACCAGGGAGCUGAUGGUACCGCCUGGGGCCGUGCGGCAGUGCGCUCAGUCCAGGUGUGCAGUGCAGGGAGCAAGGAAGAUGCCAGGCUGUGCCCCACCAUGCUGCUCACAUGGACUCCCUCUGUCAGUGGAUUAUAAGGGUGAUAACCAGAGAAUCAGGGAGGAGGAGGAAUUGGGACAGAGCUGGGAUUCAAGCCCGCCCCAUGUGCUGUUUGCUCAGCGUUGGAAGCUACCAGCCAGUUGGAGCUGUGCAGCACCCACGGGUGCUCUUGCCCUCCUACCUAGAGUGCAGGUCGGGCUGGAGCUCGGGAUUCACUGGGCAGCCACACAGGGCAGCCGUCUGGGCACCGGGCAGCCACACAGGGCAGCUAGCUGGGCACCGGGCAGCCACACAGGGCAGCCAGCUGGGCACAGCUAUUUUCCUUCUGCUCAAGGUCCCAGCGUGUGCUGGAUUAUCAGUGCCUGUUGCACUGAGGCCACACAGCGGCAGGUGCAAGUGCCAGUGACCUCAUGGGGCAGCUGGCUGAUCCGUGCCCACAUGAGCCCGACUCCCACUAGGACCCACCGCGCCUGUGCCAGCCCCACUGAGUGCACUGUUGUCAGGCCCGUGAAACCCGCCCGCAGUUCUUCCCAGGCGGUCACAAGUCCCAGCGUUCCUUGAUCUGGACACACAUGUGUGUAUUCUGCCAUAAACAUAAAUCUCACAAGUUGGUUUUGAACAAAAACAAAAACAAAAAAGUGUAAGCUAUGGGUCCCACUCCGACCUACCCCAAAAGAGUUGCAUUACGGUGCUUCUGUGACCAGUGAAAAUGUGUUCCAGCAGCACGGAGUGUCCUGGGGCCCUGAGGCCCUGGCGUGCAGUGAGCAGAACUGCGGUGAGAGGCCACUGUUAUUCUUCUGAUUUCCACACGUCCUUUCUGCAGCAUUUAUUUAUUGAAAUCACCCGAUGGGCUCCGAAGCAUUAAAUCGCAGAUUCGAGUCAAUAGUGAAGCGGACUGAAAACGACUCUGCCUGCAGUGCACACGCUGAUGGGCGGGGCAGCCCCUCCGUGGCCUGCGCCGCCUCUGUGAAGAGGGCCGAGUUGUGUGUGGAGGCCUCACAAGGUCGGCGACAGCGCAAGCCUGCGACAUUCAUGGUGGAGCCUGAGAGACAAGGGGGUCCGUGGCUCCCCAGUCGAGCGUUCAGCUUAUCUCCUAGGACCGCCCACGUAGGGCAAGCUGUUAGGACACCUCGGACUCUUCCCCAGAGAGCAGCUGGUGGGAGCAGGAGCAGGGCGAGGCGCUCAGCCCCCUGAGCUCUUCUUCCUGGUGUCUGCUGGCCCCCGGACGCUGACUGCUGUGACAGCGUGGGAGACCACCGCACACAGGCGCAGGGGUGCGGGGCUGCAGGAUGCAGAGCCCUUGGGAGCAGCCUGUCAACCACAAUGCGGGGGCGGAACCAAUUGCACCUCCUUGCGCUGUGCUGGGCGGGCGCUUUCCAAAGCCACGUUUGUUUCAUUCCCCCUGACUGCUGGGUGGCCUGGCAGCCGAGUCAGCAUCCCAGCUGUCUAGACGAGGGGGCUUAUUAAACUCUUGAGUCAUUGGGUUCUCAGAAAGACUCAGUGAUAGAAAAAUGAGGUGUAGUUUUGACAAGAAAGAAUUUCAUUGCAUUGCACUUGAAGCUCGGAUGCACACGCACACAAAUACCCCAUUCCCUUAAAUGGCUUGGGUCUGGUGUGGUGAGGCCCCACCCUGGGCGUCCGUAACGCGUGCCGCUGGCCAAAGUCCGCUUCGCUUUCUAGCAUAAGCAGUUAUUUUCUUCUGCUCUCCUAAUCUCCCCCUCUAUUCCUGCUGCAAACACGCAAGGACUAAAAAAUGUCCCUGUGACAUAUGGUGGCUUUUGCCUCCUCCGGUGACUCUGAAAGCCUUACAGUGUCCUAGUGCGCACUCAUCUGCAAGUGUUCAUUUCAAAUAGCAACAGUAAAUUGUCUUCCAGCAGACUGAAAUUAUCGCAAUAAAAAUACACGUGUGCUCUAAACUCAGAACUUCUCAGCAUACACUCAGGAGCUGGGCCACCUGCUGUAGCAGACACACCUGUCUUGCACACGGGUAUAGAUCACAUGCCCACACCAGGGCCAGUAGUGCCCAACAUGAGAGGAAAAGCAACCCCGGCACCUGCAAGCCUGCAAACAGAUCGUUAGACUUGUCUGUUGUUGUGUAGCACACGACCCCAAGUUAGCGACUUCCCAGAAACCAUCGUUUUGUGGCUCAUGGGGUUGGGAAAGGCACUGCUGGGCAGCGUGUCGACAAUCCACAGGAGGCACGCUGGGGCCACUGCAGAGCAGCUGCUGGCCCACGUGCCCUUGGGCCUCCCUCUCCCCUGGGGUGGUGCCUGCUCCAGGGUCUCUGCACGUGGCUCGGGCUUGCCCGGCUGAGAACCACAGAAAUCCGGGUGGCACUGCUGAGUGCGUCUCAGGGACCCAGCAGCUGAGGAAGGCCACCCGCGUCCCAGGGGAGACGGAUCCACUCGUAGCUCGGGAUUGUCAGAGCAGAAGGCCAGGGCUGUUAGGGACCACGAUGAAAUGCCUCUGGGGAACAAAGCACUUGCGUGAGCUCAGCGUGUCCUGCAGCUGCUUUGUAUUUCAGGAGAGAAAACAAGACCACGUCAGCAUUGUUUGCUCUGCUCUGAUUUUUGCCUCAGUGCUUAUGGUGAAACCAGCAAGUGUCGCCGGGCCCCCUGCUGGGUGAUGAGGAGGGUAAUGAUGGGAACUGGGAGGAGGCCUGGGGAUGCGGCCGUGCCGCUGGGCUAUGGAGGAAGCCCUCUGUGCUUGGGUCAGACCGCAGAGGGAUGCUUUAGACGGCAGGGCCCCAGAUGCUGCACCCGUGGGAGCCCUCGACCCUUACUUCUCCCCCAGACGCCUGGGGACACGCGGUCCCCGGGCUGGCUCAGCAUCUCAGACAUGGCAGUGCCCCCCAGGGACCCCUCUGGGAGUCUGCGGCCUCCCUGUCAGCUUGCAAGGCAGCCACCCCAGUGCAAGCCGCACGUCGUCUUUGUGACCACCGAGGGACCGGGAGGGCUGGCACCAGUGUGGUCGGGCCAGCCAGCGGGCUCGCUUUGCAGCGUGUGGAGCGUGGAUGAAAUCGUACUGAUAAUAAGGUGGGUUUUCAGCCGCCCUUUGCCUGUCACCGUGGGGCUGAGCGCUACCCCACAGCUUCCUAACAAAGCGGGAUGUGACGCCUGCACUUCUGUAACUUGUGGCGCCUGCGCAUAGGUUCUCAGGGCUUAGAAGAGGAGAACUCCCCAGCCCUGGUGGCCGGCCUUUGUCUCACACCCUGGAGAUGGAGACCCGGGAGUCCCGACAUCUCGUCUUUGGUUCUGACUUGAACCGGGACGAUGCGUUCCAACUGCCCUGCUUCCUGAGUAGUAGAGCGCAGCCAGCGAGCCGGGCCUGGCGGGCAGGAAGCUGGGAUCUAAGCGAGUCAGGCCCGCAGCUGAGAGGUGAGGGCUGAGCUGAGCUGGGCAGGGGCGAGGGCGAGGAAGAGCGGGGGGCGGGGG